rnacentral:lncRNA from 1 species
UUUUUUAAGCAUGGAUUUGGUAGCAAAAUUUAUUUUGGACGAGCCACAAAAGAGGUAGUUAUCGAGGACUUUCUGCGUGUCCUUUAUUUUCGAGUCGCGUUUGGUCGGUUUUAUGGUAAAUUCUAUAACAGAUGCCAUAUAUGGUAGCUAACUUGGAAAAUUUCUGUGAACGACAUUUUUUAAGCAUGGAUUGGGAAGCAAAAAGUUAUUUUGAACGUGCCACGAAAGAGGUAUUUAUCGAGGAGUUUUUGCGUGUCCUUUGUUUUCGAGUCGCGUUUGGUCGGUUUUAGGGUAAAUUCUGUACAAGAUGUCAUGUAUGGUUACCUAACUUGGAAAUGUUCUAUGAACGGAAUUUUUUAAGAAUGGAUUGGGUAGCUAAAGUUAUUUUGGACGAGCCAAGAAAGAGGUAGUUAUAGAGGAGGUUUUGCGUGUCCUUUGUUUUUGAGUCGCGUUUGGUUGGUUCAAGGGCAAAUUCUGUACAAGAUGUCAUAUAUGGGUACCUAACUUGGAAAAAUUCUGUGAACGACAUUUGUUAAGCAUGGAUUGGGUAGCAAAAAGUAAUGUUGGACGAGCCACGAAAGAGUUAGUUAUCGAGGAGUUUUUGCGUGUCCUUUGUUUGGAUUGGGUAGCAAUAAGUUAUUUUGGGCAAGCCACCAAAGAGGUAAUUAUUGAGGAGUUUCUGCAUGUCGCGUUUGGUCGGUUUUAGGGCAAAUUCUAUAACAGAUGCCAUAUAUGGUACCUAACUUGGAAAAUUUCUGUGAACGGCGUUUUUUAAACAUGGACUGGACAGCAAAAAGUUAUUUUGGAUGAGCCACGAAAGAGGUAUUUAUCGAGGAGUUUUUGCGUGUCCUUUGUUUUCGAGUUGCGUUCGGUCGGUUUUAGGGUAAAUUAUGUACAAGAGGUCAUCUAUGGUUACCUAACUUGGAAAAUUUCUAUGAAUAGAGUUUUUUAUGAAUGGAUUGGGUAGCUAAAAGUUCUUUUGGACGAGCCUAGAAAGAGGUAGUUAUAGAGGAGGUUUUGCGUGUCCUUUGUUUUCGAGUCGCGUUUGGUUUGUUCAUGGGCAAAUUUUGUACAAGAUGUCAUAUAUGCGUACCUAACUCAGAAAAAUUCUGUGAACGACAUUUUUUAAGCAUGGACUGGGUAGGAAAAAGUUAUGUUGGAUGAGCCACUAAAGAGGUAGUUAUCGAGGAGUUUUUGCGUGUCCUUUGUUUUCGAGUCGCGUUUGGUCGGUUUUAGGGCAAAUUCUGUACAACAUGUCAUAUAUGGGAACCUAACAUUGGAAAAAUUCUAUGAAUGGCAUUUUUAAGCAUGGAUUGGGUAGCAAAAGGUUAUUUUGGAAGAGCCACGAAAGAGGUAGUUAUCGAGUCACGUUUGGUCGGUUUUACGGCAAAUUCUGUACAAGAUGUCAUAUAUGGGUACCUAACUUGGAAAAAUUCCAUGACCGGCUUUUUAAGCAUGGAUUGGGUAGCAAAAAUUUAUUUUGGACGAGCCAUGAAAGAGGUAGUUAUCAAGUAGUUUUUACGUAUCCUUUGUUUCGAGUCGCGUUUGGUCGGUUUUAGGGCAAAUUUUGUACAACAUGUCAGAUAUGGGUACCUAACUUGGAAACAUUCGGUGAAUAACAUUUUAUAAGUAUGGAUUGGGUAGCAAAAAUUUAUGUUGGACGAGCCACGAUAGAGGUAGUUACCGAGGAGUUUUUGCAUGUCCUUUGUUUUUGAGUCGCGUUUGGUCAGUUUUAGGGCAAAUUCUGUACAACAUGUAAUAUAUGGGUACCUAACUUGGAAAAAUUAUGUGAACGGCAUUUUUAAGCAUGGAUUGGGUUAUAAAAAGUUAUGUUGGACGAGCCACGAAAGAGUUAGUUAUCGAGGAGUUUUUGCGUGUCCUUUGUUUUCGAGUCCCGUUUGGUAGGUAUAAGGGCAAAUUAUGCACAAGUUUUCGUAUAUGGGUACCUAACAUGGAAAAAUUAUGUAAACAAUAUUUUUUAAGCAUGGAUUGGGUAGAAAAAAUGUUAUUUUGGACAAGCCAUGAAAGUUGUAUUUAUCGAAGAAAUUUUGCGUGUCCUUUGUUCGAGUCAUGUUUGGUCGGUUUUAGGGAAAAUUCUGGACAAGCUAUCACAUAUGGGUACCUAACUUGGAAAAAUUCUGUCAGCAGCAUUUUUUAAGCAUGGAUUGGGUAGCAAAAACUUAUUUUGGACAAGCCACGAAAGAGGUAGUUAUCGAGGAGCUUUUGCGUGCCCUUUCUUUUUGAGUCGUGUUUGGUCGGUUUUAGGGCAAAUUCUGUACAAGAUGUCAUAUAUGGGUACCUAACUUGGAAAUAUUCUGUGAACGUUAUUUUUUAAGCAAGGAUUGGGUAGCAAAAAUUUAUUUUGGACGAGCCACGAAAGAGGUAGUUAUUGAGGAGUUUCUGCAUGUCCUUUGUUUUCGAGUCGCGUUUGGUCGGUUUUAGGGAAAAUUCUAUAACAGAUGCUAUAUAUGGGCACCUAACUUGGAAAAAUUCUGUGAACGACAUUUUUUAAGGAUGGAUUGGGUAGCAAAAAGUUAUGUUGGACGAGCCACGAAAGAGGUAGCUAUCGUGGAGUUUUUGUGUGUCCUUUGUUUUUGAGUCUCGUUUGGUCGGUUUUACGGCAAAUUCUGGACAAGAUGUAAUAUAUGGGUACCUAACUUGGAAAAAUUUUGUGAAUGACAUUUUUUAAGCAUGGAUUGGGCAGCAAAAAGUUAUUUUGGAUGAGCCACGAAAGAGGUAUUUAUUGAGGAGUUUUUGCGUGUCCUUUGUUUUCGAGUCACGUUCCGUCGGUUUUAGGGUAAAUUCCGUACAAGAUGUCAUGUAUGGUUACCUAACUUGGAAAAUUUGUAUGAACGGAAUUUUUUUAAGCACGGAUUGGGUAGCUAAAAGUUAUUUUGGAUGAGCCAUGAAAGAGGUAGUUAUCAAGGAGUUUUUGCGUGUCCUUUGUUUUCAAGUCCUGUUUGGUCGGUUCAAGGGCAAAUUCUGUACAAGAUGUCAUAUAUGGGUACCUAAGUUUGAAUAAUUCUAUGAACGGUAUUUUUUAAGCAUGGAUUGGGUACCAAAAAGUUAUUUUGGACGAGCCACAAAAGAGGUAGUUAUCGAGGAGUUUCUGCGUGUCCUUUGUUUUCGAGUCGCGUUUGGUCGGUUUUAGGGCAAAUUCUAUAACAGAUGCCAUAUAUGGUAGCUAACUUGGAAAAUUUCUGUGAACGACAUUUUUUAAGCAUGGAUUGGGCAGCAAAAAGUUAUUUUGAACGUGCCACGAAAGAGGUAUUUAUCGAGGAGUUUUUGCGUGUCCUUUGUUUUCGAGUCGCGUUUGGUCGGUUUUAGGGUAAAUUCUGUACAAGAUGUCAUGUAUGGUUACCUAACUUGGAAAAUUUCUAUGAACGGAAUUUUUUAAGAAUGGAUUGGGUAGCUAAAGUUAUUUUGGACGAGCCAAGAAAGAGGUAGUUAUAGAGGAGGUUUUGCGUGUCCUUUGUUUUUGAGUCGCGUUUGGUUGGUUCAAGGGAAAAUUCUGUACAAUAUGUCAUAUAUGGGUACCUAACUUGGAAAAAUUCUGUGAACGACAUUUGUUAAGCAUGGAUUGGGUAGCAAAAAUUUAUUUUGGACGAGCCACGAAAGAGGUAGUUAUUGAGGAGUUUCUGCAUGUCCUUUGUUUUCGAGUCGCGUUUGGUCGGUUUUAGGGAAAAUUCUAUAACAGAUGCCCUAUAUGGGCACCUAACUUGGAAAAAUUCUGUGAACGACAUUUUUUAAGGAUGGAUUGGGUAGCAAAAAGUUAUGUUGGACGAGCCACGAAAGAGGUAGUUAUCGUGGAGUUUUUGUGUGUCCUUUGUUUUUGAGUCUCGUUUGGUCGGUUUUAGGGCAAAUUCUGGACAAGAUGUAAUAUAUGGGUACCUAACUUGGAAAAUUUUUGUGAAUGACAUUUUUUAAGCAUGGAUUGGGCAGCAAAAAGUUAUUUUGGAUGAGCCACGAAAGAGGUAUUUAUUGAGGAGUUUUUGCGUGUCCUUUGUUUUCGAGUCACGUUCCGUCGGUUUUAGGGUAAAUUCCGUACAAGAUGUCAUGUAUGGUUACCUAACUUGGAAAAUUUGUAUGAACAGAAUUUUUUAAGCACGGAUUGGGUAGCUAAAAGUUAUUUUGGAUGAGCCAUGAAAGAGGUAGUUAUCAAGGAGUUUUUGCGUGUCCUUUGUUUUCAAGUCCUGUUUGGUCGGUUCAAGGGCAAAUUCUGUACAAGAUGUCAUAUAUGGGUACCUAAGUUUGAAUAAUUCUAUGAACGGCAUUUUUUAAGCAUGGAUUUGGUACCAAAAAGUUAUUUUGGACGAGCCACAAAAGAGGUAGUUAUCGAGGAGUUUCUGCGUGUCCUUUGUUUUCGAGUCGCGUUUGGUCGGUUUUAGGGCAAAUUCUAUAACAGAUGCCAUAUAUGGUAGCUAACUUGGAAAAUUUCUGUGAACGACAUUUUUUAAGCAUGGAUUGGGAAGCAAAAAGUUAUUUUGAACGUGCCACGAAAGAGGUAUUUAUCGAGGAUUUUUUGCGUGUCCUUUGUUUUCGAGUCGCGUUUGGUCGGUUUUAGGGUAAAUUCUGUACAAGAUGUCAUGUAUGGUUACCUAACUUGGAAAAUUUCUAUGAACGGAAUUUUUUAAGAAUGGAUUGGGUAGCUCAAGUUAUUUUGGACGAGCCAAGAAAGAGGUAGUUAUAGAGGAGGUUUUGCGUGUCCUUUGUUUUUGAGUCGCGUUUGGUUGGUUCAAGGGCAAAUUCUGUACAAGAUGUCAUAUAUGGGUACCUAACUUGGAAAAAUUCUGUGAACGACAUUUGUUAAGCAUGGAUUGGGUAGCAAAAAGUAAUGUUGGACGAGCCACUAAAGAGGUAGUUAUCGAGGAGUUUUUGCGUGUCCUUUGUUUUCGAGUGGCGUUUGGUCGGUUUUAGCGCAAAUUCUGUACAACAUGUCAUAUAUUUGUACCUAACUUUGGAAUAAUUCUGUGAAUGGCAUUUUUUAAGCAUGGAUUGGGUAGANNNNNNNNNNNNNNNNNNNNNNNNNNNNNNNNNNNNNNNNNNNNNNNNNNNNNNNNNNNNNNNNNNNNNNNNNNNNNNNNNNNNNNNNNNNGGUUCAAGGGCAAAUUCUGUACAAGAUGUCAUAUAUGGGUACCUAACUUGGAAAAAUUCUGUGAACGACAUUUGUUAAGCAUGGAUUGGGUAGCAAAAAGUAAUGUUGGACGAGCCACUAAAGAGGUAGUUAUCGAGGAGGUUUUGCGUGUCCUUUGUUUUCGAGUGGCGUUUGGUCGGUUUUAGCGCAAAUUCUGUACAACAUGUCAUAUAUUUGUACCUAACUUUGGAAUAAUUCUGUGAAUGGCAUUUUUUAAGCAUGGAUUGGGUAGAAAAAAGUUAUUUUGGAAGAGCCACGAAAGAGGUAGUUAUCGUGGAGUUUUUGCAUGUCACUUGUUUUUGAGUCGCGUUUGGUCGGUUUUAGGGAAAAUUCUGUACAAGAUGUCAUAUAUGGGUACCGAACUUGGAAAAAUUCUAUGACCGGCUUUUUAAGCAUGGAUUGGGUAGCCAAAAGUUAUUUUGGACGAGCCACAAAAGAGGUAUUUAUCGAGGAUUUUUUGCGUCUCAUAUGUUGUCGAGUCGCGUUUGGUCGGUUUUAGGGUAAAUUCUGUACAAGAUGUCAUGUAUGGUUACCUAACUUUGAAAAUUUCUAUGAACGGAAUUUUUUAAGAAUGGAUUGGGUAGCUAAAAGUUAUUUUGGAUGAGCCAAGGAAGAGGUAGUUAUAGAGGAGGUUUUGCGUGUCCUUUGUUUUCGAGUCGCGUUUGGUUGGUUCAAGGGCAAAUUUUGUACAAGAUUUCAUAUAUGGGUACCGACAUGGAAAAAUUCUGUCAAUGACAUUUUUUAAGCAUAGAUUGGGUAGCAAAAAGUUAUGUUGGAUGAGCCACUAAAGAGGUAGUUAUCGAGUAGUUUUUGCGUGUCCUUUGUUUUCGAGUCGCAUUUGGUCGGUUUUAGGGCAAAUUCUGUACAACAUGUCAUAUAUGGGAACCUAACUUUAGAAAAAUUCUAUGAAUGGCAUUUUUAAGCAUGGAUUGGGUAGCAAAAAGUUAUUUUGGAAGAGCCACGAAAGAGGUAGUUAUCGAGUCACGUUUGGUCGGUUUUAGGGCAAAUUCUGUACAAGAUGUCAUAUAUGGGUACCUAACUUGGAAAAAUUCCAUGACCGGCUUUUUAAGCAUGGAUUGGGUAGCAAAAAUUUAUUUUGGACGAGCCAUGAAAGAGGUAGUUAUCAAGUAGUUUUUACGUAUCCUUUGUUUCGAGUCGCGUUUGGUCGGUUUUAGGGCAAAUUUUGUACAACAUGUCAGAUAUGGGUACCUAACUUGGAAACAUUCGGUGAACAACAUUUUAUAAGUAUGGAUUGGGUAGCAAAAAUUUAUGUUGGACGAGCCACGAUAGAGGUAGUUACCGAGGAGUUUUUGCAUGUCCUUUGUUUUUGAGUCGCGUUUGGUCGGUUUUAGGGAAAAUUCUGUACAACAUGUAAUAUAUGGGUACCUUACUUGGAAAAAUUAUGUGAACGGCAUUUUUAAGCAUGGAUUGGGUUAUAAAAAGUUAUGUUGGACGAGCCACGAAAGAGUUAGUUACCGAGGAGUUUUUGCGUGUCCGUUGUUUUCGAGUCCCGUUUGGUAGGUAUAAGGGCAAAUUAUGCACAAGUUUUCGUAUAUGGGUACCUAACAUGGAAAAAUUAUGUAAACAAUAUUUUUUAAGCAUGGAUUGGGUAGAAAAAAUGUUAUUUUGGACAAGCCAUGAAAGUGGUAUUUAUCGAAGAGUUUUUGCGUGUCCUUUGUUCGAGUCGUGUUUGGUCGGUUUUAGGGAAAAUUCUGGACAAGCUAUCACAUAUGGGUACCUAACUUGAACAAAUUCUGUCAGCAGCAUUUUUUAAGCAUGGAUUGGGUAGCAAAAACUUAUUUUGGACAAGCCACGAAAGAGGUAGUUAUCGUGGAGUUUUUGCGUGCCCUUUGUUUUUGAGUCGUGUUUGGUCGGUUUUAGGGCAAAUUCUGUACAAGAUGUCAUAUAUGGGUACCUAACUUGGAAAUAUUCUGUGAACGUUAUUUUUUAAGCAAGGAUUGGGUGGUAAAAAGUUAUUUUGGGCAAGCCACGACAGAGGUAGUUAUCGAGGAGUUUCUGCGUGCCCUUUGUUUCCGAGUUGCGUUUGGUCGGUUUUAGGGCAAAUUCUGUAACAGAUGUCAUAUAGGGGUACCUACCUUGGAAUUUUUCUGCGAACGACAUUUUUUAAGCAUGAUUGGGUAGCAAAAAGUUAUUUUGGACGAGCCACGAAAGAGGUAGUUAUUGAGGAGUUUCUGCAUGUCCUUUGUUUUCGAGUCGCGUUUGGUCGGUUUUAGGGAAAAUUCUAUAACAGAUGCCAUAUAUGGGCACCUAACUUGGAAAAAUUCUGUGAACGACAUUUUUUAAGGAUGGAUUGGGUAGCAAAAAGUUAUGUUGGACGAGCCAUGAAAGAGGUAGUUAUCGUGGAGUUUUUGUGUGUCCUUUGUUUUUGAGUCUCGUUUGGUCGGUUUUAGGGCAAAUUCUGGACAAGAUGUAAUAUAUGGGUACCUAACUUGGAAAAUUUUUGUGAAUGACAUUUUUUAAGCAUGGAUUGGGCAGCAAAAAGUUAUUUUGGAUGAGCCACGAAAGAGGUAUUUAUUGAGGAGUUUUUGCGUGUCCUUUGUUUUCGAGUCACGUUCCGUCGGUUUUAGGGUAAAUACCGUACAAGAUGUCAUGUAUGGUUACCUAACUUGGAAAAUUUGUAUGAACAGAAUUUUUUAAGCACGGAUUGGGUAGCUAAAAGUUAUUUUGGAUGAGCCAUGAAAGAGCUAGUUAUCAAGGAGUUUUUGCGUGUCCUUUGUUUUCAAGUCCCGUUUGGUCGGUUCAAGGGCAAAUUCUGUACAAGAUAUCAUAUAUGGGUACCUAAGUUUGAAUAAUUCUAUGAACGGCAUUUUUUAAGAAUGGAUUGGGUACCAAAAAGUUAUGUUGGACGAGCCACGAAAGAGGUAGUUACCGAGGAGUUUUUGCGUGUCUUUUGUUUUUGAGUCGCGUUUGGUCUGUUUUAGGGCAAAUUCUGUACAACAUGUAAUAUAUGGGUACCUAACUGGGAAAAAUUAUGUGAACGACAUUUUUAAGCAUGGAUUGGGUUAUAAAAAGUUAUGUUGGACGAGCCACGAAAGAGUUAGUAUCGAGGGGUUUUUGCGUGUCCUUUGUUUUCUAGUCGCGUUUGGUAGGUUUUAGGGCAAAUUAUGCACAAGCUGUCAUAUAUGGGUACCUAACUUGGAAAAAUUAUGUGAACGGCAUUUUUUAAUUAUGGAUUGGGUUAUAAGAAGUUAUGUUGGAGGAGUCACGAUAGAGUUAGUUAUCGAGGAGCUUUUGCGUGUCCUUUGUUUUCGAGUCGCGUUUGGUCGCUUUUAGGGCAAAUGCUGGACAAGCUGUCAUAUAUGGGUACCUGACUUGGAAAAAUUCUAUGAGCAGAAUUUUUUAAGCAUGGGGUAGCAAUAAGUUAUUUUGGACGAGCCAAGAAAGAGGAAGUUAUCGAGUAGUUUUUGCCUGUUCUUUGUUUUCGGGUCGCGUUUGGUCGGUUUUAAGAGAAAUAUUGUACAAGACGUCAUAUAUGGGUACCUAACAUGGAAAAAUUAUGUAAACGACAUUUUCUAAGCAUGGAUUGGGUAGCAAUAAGUUAUUUUGGACGAGCCAAGAAAGAGGUAGUUAUCGUGGAGUUUUUGCAUGUCCUUUAUUUUUGAGUCGCCUUUGGUCGGUUUUAGGGCAAAUUCUGUACAAUAUGUAAUAUAUGGGUACCUAACUUGGAAAAAUUAUGUGAAUUGAAUUUUUUAAGCAUGGAUUGGGUUAUAAAAAGUUAUGUUGGACGAGCCACGAAAGAGUUAGUUAUCGAGGAUUUUUUUGCGAUACCUUUGUUUUUGAGUCGCAUUUGGUAGGUUUAAGGGCAAAUUAUGCACAAGAUGUCAUUUAUGCGUGCCUAACUUGGAAAAACUAUGUAAAGGGCAUUUUUAAGCAUGUAUUGGGUAGGAAAAAGUUAUUUUGGACGAGCCAUAAAAGAGGUAUUUAUCGAGGUGUUUUUGCGUGUCCUUUGUUUUCGAGUCGCAUUUGGUCCGUGUUUGGGCAAAUUCUGGACAAGCUGUCAUAUAUGGGUACCUCACUUGGAAAAAUUCUGUGACCAGCAUUUUUUAAGCAUGGAUUAGGUAGCAAUAAGUUAUUUUGGAUGAGCCAAGAAAGAGGUAGUUAUCGAGUAGUUUUUCCGUGUCCUUUGUUUUGAAUCGCGUUUGGUCAGUUUUAGGGCAAAUUCUGUACAACAUGUCAUAUAUGGGAACCUAACUUUAGAAAAAUUCUAUGAAUGGCAUUUUUAAGCAUGGAUUGGGUAGCAAAAAGUUAUUUUGGAAGAGCCACGAAAGAGGUAGUUAUCGAGUCACGUUUGGUCGGUUUUAGGGCAAAUUCUGUACAAGAUGUCAUAUAUGGGUACCUAACUUGGAAAAAUUCCAUGACCGGCUUUUUAAGCAUGGAUUGGGUAGCAAAAAUUUAUUUUGGACGAGCCAUGAAAGAGGUAGUUAUCAAGUAGUUUUUACGUAUCCUUUGUUUCGAGUCGCGUUUGGUCGGUUUUAGGGCAAAUUUUGUACAACAUGUCAGAUAUGGGUACCUAACUUGGAAACAUUCGGUGAANNNNNNNNNNAGGUAGUUAUCGUGGAGUUUUUGCAUGUCCUUUAUUUUUGAGUCGCCUUUGGUCGGUUUUAGGGCAAAUUCUGUACAAUAUGUAAUAUAUGGGUACCUAACUUGGAAAAAUUAUGUGAAUUGAAUUUUUUAAGCAUGGAUUGGGUUAUAAAAAGUUAUGUUGGACGAGCCACGAAAGAGUUAGUUAUCGAGGAUUUUUUUGCGAUACCUUUGUUUUUGAGUCGCAUUUGGUAGGUUUAAGGGCAAAUUAUGCACAAGAUGUCAUUUAUGCGUGCCUAACUUGGAAAAACUAUGUAAAGGGCAUUUUUAAGCAUGUAUUGGGUAGGAAAAAGUUAUUUUGGACGAGCCAUAAAAGAGGUAUUUAUCGAGGUGUUUUUGCGUGUCCUUUGUUUUCGAGUCGCAUUUGGUCCGUGUUUGGGCAAAUUCUGGACAAGCUGUCAUAUAUGGGUACCUCACUUGGAAAAAUUCUGUGACCAGCAUUUUUUAAGCAUGGAUUAGGUAGCAAUAAGUUAUUUUGGAUGAGCCAAGAAAGAGGUAGUUAUCGAGUAGUUUUUCCGUGUCCUUUGUUUUGAAUCGCGUUUGGUCAGUUUUAGGGCAAAUUCUGUACAAGACGUCAUAUAUGGGUACCUAACAUGGAAAAAUUCUGUGAACGAAAUUUUUUAAGCAUGGAUUAGGUAGCAAAAAGUUAUUUUGGACGAGCCACGAAAGAGGUAAUUAUUGAGGAGUUUCUGCGUGUCCUUUGUUUUUGAGUCGCGUUUGGUCGGUUCUAGGGUAAAUUCUGUACAAGAUGUCAUAUAUGGGUACCUAACUUGGAAAUAUUCUAUGAACGACAUUUUUAAGCAUGGAUUGGGUAGCAAAAAUUUAUUUUGGGCAAGCCAACAAAGAGGUAAUUAUCGAGGAGUUUCUGCGUGUCCUUUCUUUCCGAGUCGUGUUUGGUCGGUUUUAGGGCAAAUUCUGUAACAGAUGUCAUAUGUGGUACCUACCUUGGAAAUUUUCUGCGAACGGCAUUCUUUUAAGCAUGUACUUGGUUGCAAAAUUUAUUUUGGAGGAGCCACAAAAGAGGUAGUUAUCAAGGAGUUUCUGCGUGUCCUUUGUUUUCGAGUCGCGCUUGGUCGGUUUCUCGGAAAUUCUAUAACAGAUGCCAUAUAUGGUACCUAACUUGGAAAAUUUCUGUGAACGGUAUUUUUAAGCAUGGAUUGGGCAGCAAAAAGUUAUUUUGGACGUCCCACGAAAGAGGUAUUUAUCGAGGAGUUUUUUCGUGUCCUUUGUUUUCGAGUCUCGUUUGGUCGGUUUUAGGGUAAAUUCUGUACAAGAUGUCAUGUAUGGUUACCUAACUUGGAAAAUUUCUAUGAACGUAAUUUUUUAAGAAUGGAUUGGGUAGCUAAAAGUUAUUUUGGACGAGCCAAGAAAGAGGUAGUUAUAGAGGAGGUUUUGCGUGUCCUUUGUUUUCGAGUCGCGUUUGGUUGGUUCAAGGGCAAAUUCUGUACAAGAUGUCAUAUAUGGGUACCUAACUUGGAAAAAUUCUGUGAACGACAUUUUUUAAGCAUGGAUUGGGUAGCAAAAAGUUAUGUUGGACGAGCCACUAAAGAGUUAGUUAUCGAGGAGUUUUUGCGUGUCCUUUGUUUUCGAGUCACGUUUGGUCGGUUUUAGGGCAAAUUCUGUACAACAUGUCAUAUAUGGGUACUUAACUUUGAUAAAAUUCUGUGAAUGGCAUUUUUUAAGCAUGGAUUGGGUAGAAAAAAUUUAUUUUGGAAGAGCCACAAAAGAGGUAGUUAUCGAGGAGUUUUUGCAUGUCAUUUGUUUUUGAGUCGCGUUUGGUCGGUUUUAGGGCAAAUUCCGUACAAGAUGUCAUAUAUGAGUACCUAACUUGGAAAAAUUCUAUGACCGGCUUUUUAAGCAUGGAUAGGGUAGCCAAAAGUUAUUUUGGACGAGCCAAGAAAGAGGUAUUUAUCGAGGAGUUUUGCGUGUCUUUUGUUAUCGAGUCGCGUUUGGUCGGUUUUAGGGUAAAUUCUGUACAAGAUGUCAUGUAUGGUUACCUAACUUGGAAACUUUCUAUGAACGGAAUUUUUUAAGAAUGGAUUGGGUAUCUAAAAGUUAUUUUGUACGAGCCAAGGAAGAGGUAGUUAUAGAGGAGGUUCUGCGUGUCCAUUGUUUUCGAGUCGCGUUUGGUUGGUUCAAGGGCAAAUUUUGUACAAGAUGUGAUAUAUGGGUACCUAGCUUGGAAAAAUUAUGUGAAUGACAUUUUUUAAGCAUUGAUUGGGUAGCCAAAAGUUAUGUUGGACGAGCCACUAAAGAGGUAGUUAUCGAGGAGUUUUUGCGUGUCCUUUGUUUUCGAGUCGCGUUUGGUCGAUUUUAGGGCAAAUUCUGUACAACAUGUCAUAUAUGGGUACCUAACUUUGGAAAAAUAAUAUGAAUGGCAUUUUUAUGCAUGGAUUGGGUAGCAAAAAGUUAUUUUGGAAGAGCCACGAAAGAGGUAGUUAUCGAGUCAAGUUUGCUCGGUUUUAGGGCAAAUUCUGUACAAGAUGUCAUAUAUGGGUACCUAACUUGGAAAAAUUCUAUGACCGGGUUUUUAAGCAUGGAUUGGGUAGCCAAAAGUUAUUUUGGACGAGCCAUGAAAGAGGUAGUUAUCAAGGAGUUUUUGCGUGUCCUUUGUUUCGAGUCGCGUUUGGUCGGUUUUAGGGCAAAUAUUGUACAACAUGUCAUAUAUGGGUACCUAACUUCCAAACAUUCGGUGAACGACAUUUUAUAAGGAUGGAUUGGGUAGCAAAAAAUUAUGUUGAACAAGCCACGAUAGAGGUAGUUACUGACGAGUUUUUUCAUGUCCUUUGUUUUUGAGUCGUGUUUGGUCGGUUUUAGGGCAAAUUCUGUUAUGUUGGACGAGCCACGACAGAGUUAGUUAUCGAGGAGUUUUUGCGUGUCCUUUGUUUGGAUUGGGUAGCAAUAAGUUAUUUUGGGCAAGCCACCAAAGAGGUAAUUAUUGAGGAGUUUCUGCAUGUCGCGUUUGGUUGGUUUUAGGGAUAAUUCUUUAACAGAUGUCAUAUACGGUACCUACCUUGGAAAUUUUCUGCGAACGGCAUUCUUUUAAGCAUGGACUUGGUAGCUAAAUCUAUUUUGGACGAGCCCCAAAAGAGGUAGUUAUCGAGGAGUUUCUGCGUGUCCUUUGUUUUUGAGUCGCGUUUGGUCGGUUUUAGGGCAAAAUUCUGUGAACGGCGUUUUUUAAGAAUGGAUUGGACAGCAAAAAGUUAUUUUGGACGAGCCACGAAAGAGGUAUUUAUCGGGGAGUUUUUGCGUGUCCUUUGUUUUCGAGUUGCGUUUGGUCGGUUUUAGGGUAAAUUAUGUACAAGAGGUCAUCUAUGGUUACCUACUUGGAAAAUUUCUAUGAACAGAGUUUUUUAUGAAUGGAUUGGGUAACUAAAAGUUAUUUUGGACGAGCCAAGAAAGAGGUAGUUAUAGAGGAGGUUUUGCGUGUGCUUUGUUUUCGAGUCAUAUAUGGGUACCUAACUUAGAAAAAUUCUGUGAACAACAUUUUUUAAGCAUGGACUGGGUAGCAAAGAGUUAUGUUGGACGAGCCACUUAAGAGGUAGUUAUCGAGCAGUUUUUGCGUGUCCUUUGUUUUUGAGUCGCGUUUGGUCGGUUUUAGGGCAAAUUCUGUACAACAUGUCAUAUAUGGGUACCUAACUUUGGAAAAAUUCUGUGAAUGGCAUUUUUUAAGCAUGGAUUGGGUAGCAAAAAGUUAUUUUGGAAGAGCCAUGAAAGAGGUAGUUAUCGAGGAGUUUUUUCAUGUCAUUUGCUUUCGAGUCGCGUUUGGUCGGUUUUAGGGAAAAUUCUGUACAACAUGUCAUAUAUGGGUUGGGUUAUAAAAAUUUAUGUUGGACGAGCCACGAAAGAGUUAGUUAUCGCGGAGUUUUUGCGUGUCCUUUGUUUUUGAGUCGCAUUUGGUAGGUUUAAGGGCAAAUUAUGCACAAGAUGUCAUAUAUGGGUACCUAACUUGGAAAAGUUAUGUAAACGGCAUUUUUUAAGCAUGGAUUGGGUAGCAAAAAGUUAUUUUGGAUGAGCCAUAAAAGAGAUAUUUGUCCAGGAGUUUUUGCGUGUCCUUUGUUUUCGAGUCACAUUUGGUUGGUUUUAGGGCAAAUUCUGGACAAGCUGUCAUAUAUGGGUACCUAACUUGGAAAAAUUAUGUGACCAGCAUUUUUUAAGCAUGGAUUAGGUAGCAAUAAGUUAUUUUGGAUGAGCCAAGAAAGAGGUAGUUAUCGAGUAGUUUUUCCGUGUCCUUUUGUUUUUGAGUCGCGUUUGGUCGGUUUUAGGGCAAAUUCUGUACAAGACGUCAUAUAUGGAUACCUAACAUGGAAAAAUUGUGUGAACGAAAUUUUUUAAGCAUGGAUUGGGUAGCAAAAAGUUAUUUUGGACAAGCCACGAAAGAGGUAGUUAUGGAGGAAUUUUUGCGUGUCCUUUUUUUUGAGUCGCGUUUCGUCGGUUUUAGGGUAAAUUCUGUACAAGAUGUCAUAUAUGGGUACCAAACUUGGAAAUAUUCUCUGGACGACAUUUUUAAGCAUGGAUUGGGUAGCAAAAAGUUAUUUUGGGCAAGCCGCCAAAGAGGUAAUUAUCGAGGAGUUUCUGCGUGUCCUUUCUUUCCGAGUCGUGUUUGGUCGGUUUUAGGGCCAAUUCUAUAACAGAUGUCAUAAUGGUACCUACCUUGGAAACUUUCUGCGAACGACAUUUUUUUAAGCAUUGAUUUGGUGGGAAAAUUUAUGUUGGACGAGCCAAAAAAGAGGUAGUUAUCGAGGAGUUUCUGCGUGUCCUUUGUUUUCGAGUCGCGUUUGGUCGGUUUUAGGGCAAAUUCUGUACAAGACGUCAUAUAUGGAUACCUAACAUGGAAAAAUUCUGUGAACGAAAUUUUUUAAGCAUGGAUUGGGUAGCAAAAAUUUAUUUUGGACAAGCCACGAAAGAGGUAGUUAUGGAAGAAUUUUUGCGUGUCCUUUGUUUUUGAGUCGCGUUUCGUCGGUUUUAGGGUAAAUUCUGUACAAGAUGUCAUAUAUGGGUACCAAACUUGGAAAUAUUCUGUGGACGACAUUUUUAAGCAUGGAUUGGGUAGCAAAAAGUUACUUUGGGCAAGCCGCCAAAGAGGUAAUUAUCAAGGAGUUUCUGCGUGUCCUUUCUUUCCGAGUCGUGUUUGGUCGGUUUUAGGGCAAAUUCUAUAACAGAUGUUAUAUAUGGUACCUACCUUGGAAAUUUUUUGCGAACGGCAUUUUUUUAACCAUGGAUUUGGUAGCAAAAUUUAUUUUGGACGAGCCACAAAAGAGGUAGUUAUCGAGGAGUUUCUGCGUGUCCUUUGUUUUCGAGUCACGUUUGGUCGGUUUUAGGGCAAAUUCUAUAACAGAUGCCAUAUAUGGUAGCUAACUUGGAAAAUUUCUGUGAACGACAUUUUUUAAGCAUGGAUUAGGCAGCAAAAAGUUAUUUUGGACGUGCCACGAAAGAGGUAUUUAUCGAGGAGUUUUUGCGUGUCCUUUGUUUUCGAGUCGCGUUUGGUCGGUUUUAGGGUAAAUUCUGUACAAGAUGUCAUGUAUGGUUACCUAACUUGGAAAAUUUCUAUGAACGGAAUUUUUUAAGAAUGGAUUGGGUAGCUAAAGUUAUUCUGGACAAGCCAAAAAAGAGGUAGUUAUAGAGGAGGUUUUGCGUGUCCUUUGUUUUCGAGUCGCGUUUGGUUGGUUCAAGGGCAAAUUCUGUACAAGAUGUCAUAUAUGGGUACCUAACUUGGAAAAAUUCUGUGAACAACAUUUGUUAAGCAUGGAUUGGGUAGCAAAAAGUAAUGUUGGACGAGCCACUAAAGAGGUAGUUAUCGAGGAGUUUUUGCGUGUCCUUUGUUUUCGAGUGGCGUUUGGUCGGUUUUAGCGCAAAUUCUGUACAACAUGUCAUAUAUGUGUACCUAACUUUGGAAUAAUUCUGUGAAUGGCAUUUUUUAAGCAUGGAUUGGGUAGAAAAAAGUUAUUUUGGAAGAGCCACGAAAGAGGUAGUUAUCGAGGAGUUUUUGCAUGUCAUUUGUUUUUGAGCCGCGUUUGGUCGGUUUUAGGGAAAAUUCUGUACAAGAUGUCAUAUAUGGGUACCGAACUUGGAAAAAUUUUAUGACCGGCUUUUUAAGCAUGGAUUGGGUAGCCAAAAGUUAUUUUGGACGAGCCACAAAAGAGAUAUUUAUCGAGGAGUUUUUGCGUGUCAUUUGUUGUCGAGUCGCGUUUGGUCGGUUUUAGGGUAAAUUCUGUACAAGAUGUCAUGUAUGGUUACCUAACUUGGAAAAUUUCUAUGAACGGAAUUUUUUAAGAAUGGAUUGGGUAGCUAAAAGUUAUUUUGGAUGAGCCAAGGAAGAGGUAGUUAUAGAGGAGGUUUUGCGUGUCCUUUGUUUUCGAGUCGCGUUUGGUUGGUUCAAGGGCAAAUUUUGUACAAGAUGUCAUAUAUGGGUACCUACUUGGAAAAAUUCUGUCAAUGACAUUUUUUAAGCAUAGACUGGGUAGCAAAAAGUUAUGUUGGAUGAGCCACUAAAGAUGUAGUUAUCGAGGAGUUUUUGCGUGUCCUUUGUUUUCGAGUCACGUUUGGUCGGUUUUAGGGCAAAUUCUGUACAACAUGUCAUAAAUGGCUACCUAACUUUGGAAAAAUUUUGUGAACGACAUUUUAUAAGGAUGGAUUGGGUAGCAAAAAUUUAUGUUGGACGAGCCACGAAAGAGUUAGUUAUCGAGGAGUUUUUGCAUGUUCUUUGUUUUUGAGUCGCGUUUGUUCGGUUUUAGGGCAAAUUCUGUACAAGAUGUAAUAUAUGGGUACCUAACUUGGAAAAAUUAUGUGAACGGCAUUUUUAAGCAUGGAUUGGGUUAUAAAAAGUUAUGUUGGACGAGCCACGAAAGAGUUAGUUAUCGAGGAGUUUUUCCGUGUCCUUUGUUUUCAAGUCGCGUUUGGUAGGUUUAAGGGCAAAUUAUGCACAAGUUUUCAUAUAUGGGUACCUAACUUGGAAAAAUUAUGUAAACAGCAUUUUUUAAGCAUGGAUUGGGUAGCAAAAAGUUAUUUUGGACAAGCCAUGAAAGUGGUAUUUAUCGAACAGUUUUUGCGUGUCCUUUGUUUUCGAGUCGUGUUUGGUCGGUUUUAGGGCAAAUUCUGGACAAGCUAUCACAUAUGGGUACCUAACUUGGAAAAAUUCUGUGAGCAGCAUUUUUUAAGCAUGUAUUGGGUAGCAAUAAGUUAUUUUGGAUGAGCCAAGAAAGAGGUAGUUAUCGAGUAGUUUUUGCAUGUCAUUUGUUUUCGAGUCGCGUUUGGUCGGUUUUAGGGCAAAUUCUAUACAAGACGUCAUAUAUGGGUACCUAACAUGGAAAAAUUAUGUAAACGACAUUGUUUAAGCAUGGAUUGGGUAGCAAAAAGUUUUUUUGGACGAGCCAUGAAAGAGGUAUUUAUCGAGGAGUUUUUGCGUGUCCUUUGUUUUCGAGUCGUGUUUGGUCGGUUUUAGGGCAAAUUCUAGACAAGCUGUCAUAUAUGGGUACCUAACUUGGAAAAAUUCUGUGAGUAGCAUUUUCAAGCAUGGAUUGGGUAGCAAUAAGUUAUUUUGGACGAGCCAAGAAAGAGGUAGUUAUCGAGGAGUUUUUGCGUGUCCUUUGUUUUUUGAGUCGCGUUUGGUUGGUUUUAGAGCAAAUUCCGUACAAGAUGUUCCUAACUUGGAAAAAUUAUGUGAACGGCAUUUUUAAUUGUGGAUUGGGUUAUAAAAAGUUAUGUUGGAGGAGCCACGAUAGAGUUAGUUAUCGAGGAGUUUUUGCGUGUCCUCUGUUUUCGAGUCGCGUUUGGUCGGUUUUAGGGCAAAUUCUGUACAACUUGUCAUAUAUGGGUGUAACACCCCAGAUGUAACUUUCCAUAUUUGCAACUUCAACUCUUGCCAUUUUUGGCUAUGUGUUAUGACAUUCCCUUCGUGGUCGGGUUUUGUUUUCCGUUUUGCUUUUUGCUUUUGUCAUGCAUCUCAUAUCAUGUCAUCAUGUGCAUUGCAUUUGCAUACGUGUUCGUCUUUUGCAUCCGAGCAUUUUCCCAGUUGUCCGUUUUGCAAUCCGGCACUCCCACCUCCUCCGGCGCACCCCUCUUUUUUUCUUUUCGUGAGCGGGUGUUGAACAUUCUCGAAAUGGACCGAGGCUUGCCAAGCGGCCUUGGUAUACCACCGGUAGACCACCUGUCAAGUUUCGUUCCAGUUGGAGGUCGUUUGGUACUCCAACGGUUAACCGGGCAACCGCAAAGUCCUUUUGUGUGUUGCAGCAAAACCCCCCUCCUAAUAGCCCAAAACCCAUCUAAGUCACUUCCAUGCUCUAGGUCGUUCAAUUAGGAUCGUGUGGGCGAAAACCGUGCUCAAUUUGGAGUCUCCUAGCUCCCUCUGCCUAUAAAAACACCUCCCCCUCCGAAAUCUGGGCGAAACCCUAGCAAAAAUCGUCCUCCGCGCCGCCAAACGCGUCCACUCCCGCCGGACGAACCCGCCGCCGCGCCCUGCCCACUCACAGCGCGACACGUGGCUUCGCUCCGUCGCCCGCGCCGCCGGCCCGCUGGGCGUGUAAUAUAUCGAAAUGUUCAUCUCGAGAUGCUCUUCAUUUUGUUCCAUUGCACCAUGUUCAUUUGAGUCCAUCUUGAGGCCCAAAUCUCUGGUGCAAGAGUGCUAGUUGCUGUUAACUGCUGUUACUUAUCAGAACUUGAGGAUUUGUUAUUUUUGUUGCUAUUAAUGUGUGCAUCUUACUGUCAUCAAGCUCACCAAGUCUGUAACAUGUUAACGAAACUUGCUAUGUUUACAUGGUUGCCAUCAUAUCUUCUGGUCCUUUUUGGCUUAUGGUCAGUAAGGGACUUUUGUUAUAUGCAUUUAGUAGAAUACUGACAUGCCUUGUUUUGCCAUGUUAAGUUCCUGUAGCAUGUUGAUUGCUUGCUCUGAACAUUGCUACCUGAUGCUGUUUAUGCCAUGUCCAGUAAUUUCACCAAGUCUGUGAACAUGAUAUCUUUUGCACUUUUGCCAUGCCUGUUUGAACCUCCUGUGGUGUGAUCUAGCCGUAGCUCAUUGUUCAUCUUUUGGCAAGCACCUCCUGUAGAUUACUGCCAUAUGCUUUGCUGCUAUGUUGGGGUGCUGUAGCAUUGUUACUUGUUACAUUCUAAGUGCUAUCAUGCUGUUAAUCGCAGAUUCGUGUCAUUCUUGUUUUGCUUGCCAUUUGCAAACCGUGCAUCCGUUUCCGGUGAUCUUUAUAUCGAUUUCAACCAAAAUCAUCUCAUCUUUCCAGUGGCAUGCUUGGUUUGUCAAUUUACUGCCUUGUUCAUCAUUUUUCUUCCGGAGCACGCAUAUGCAUCGCAUAUCAUAUCUUGCAUAUCAUUCAUGUAUUGCAUCAUGUUGCUUGUGCAUUUCCCGUGAUUGAUUGUGGUUCCGUUGCUUGUGUUCUUGUUUUGGGUAGAGCCGGGAGACGAGUUCGUGAACGAGGAACCUGUUGAGUACGCUUACGAGGAUCAAGCUUUCGACAACUCUGAGAACCUUGCAGGAAAGAUGACCAUACCCUCAAAAUCACUUCUAUCUUUGCUUUGCUAGUUGUUCGUUCUUUGCCAUGCUGCGCUACCUACCAUUUGCUAUAUCAUGCCUCCCAUAUUGCCAUGUCAAGCCUCUAACCAUCCUUUCCUAGCAAACCGUUGUUUGGCUAAGUUACCGCUUUUGCUCAGCCCUUCUUAUAGCGUUGCUAGUUGCAGGUGAGCCACUAAAGAGGUACUUAUCAAGGAGUUUCUACGUGUCCUUUGCUUUUGAGUCACGCUUGGUCGGUUUUAGGGCAAAUUCUGUAACAGAUGCCAUAUAUGGGUACCAAACUUGGAAAAUUUCUAUGAAUGGCAUUUUUUAAGCAUGGAUUGGGCAGCAAAAAUUAUUUUGGACGAGCCACGAAAGAGGUAUUUAUCAAGGAGUUUUUGCGUGUCCUUUGUUUUCGAGUCACGUUUGGUCGAUUUCAGGGCAAAUUCUGUACAGGAUGUCAGGUAUGGUUACCUAACUUGGAAAAUUUCUGUGAACGGCAUUUUCUAAGCAUGGAUUGGCUAGUAAAAGUUAUUUUGGACAAGCCAUGAAAGAGGUAGUUAUCGAGGUGUUUUUUCGUCUCCUUUGUUUUCGAGACGUGUUUGGUCGGUUCAAGGGCAAAUUUUGUACAAGAUGUCAUAUAUGUGUACCUAACGUGGAAAACUUAUGUAAACGACAUUUUCUAAGCAUGGAUUGGGCAGCCAAGCAAGAGGUAGUUAUCGUGGAGUUUUUGCAUGUCCUUUAUUUUUGAGUCGCGUUCGGUCGGUUUUAGGGCAAAUUCUGUACAAUAUGUAAUAUAUGGGUACCUAACUUGGAAAAAUUAUGUGAAUGGAAUUUUUUAAGCAUGGAUUGGGUUAUAAAAUGUUAUGUUGGACGAGCCACGAAAGAGUUAGUUAUCGAGGAUUUUUUGCGUGUCCGUUGUUCUCGAGUCGCGUUCCGUCGGUUUUAGGGUACAUUCCGUACAAGAUGUCAUGUAUGGUUACCUAACUUGGAAAAUUUGUAUGAACGGAAUUUUUUAAGCACGGAUUGGGUAGCUAAAAGUUAUUUUGGAUGAGCCAUGAAAGCGGUAGUUAUCAAGGAGUUUUUGCGUGUUCUUUGUUUUCAAGUCGCGUUUGGUCCGUUCAAGGGCAAAUUCUGUACAAGAUGUCAUAUAUGGGUACCUAAGUUUGAAUAAUUCUAUGAACGGCAUUUUUUAAGCAUGGAUUAGGUACCAAAAAGUUAUGUUGGACGAGCCACGAAAGAGGUAGUUACCGAGGAGUUUUUGCGUGUCUUUUGUUUUUGAGUCGCGUUUGGUCUGUUUUAGGGCAAAUUCUGUACAACAUGUAAUAUAUGGGUACCUAACUUGGAAAAAUUAUGUGAACGACAUUUUUAAGCAUGGAUUGGGUUAUAAAAAGUUAUGUUGGACGAGCCACGAAAGAGUUAGUAUCGAGGGGUUUUUUUGUGUCCUUUGUUUUCGAGUCGCGUUUCGUAGGUUUAAGGGCAAAUUAUGCACAAGCUGUCAUAUAUGGGUACCUAACUUGGAAAAAUUAUGUGAACGACAUUUUUUAAUUAUGGAUUGGGUUAUAAAAAGUUAUGUUGGAGGAGCCACGAUAGAGUUAGUUAUCGAGGAGCUUUUGCGUGUCCUUUGUUUUCGAGUCGCGUUUGGUCGCUUUUAGGGCAAAUGCUGGACAAGCUGUCAUAUAUGGGUACCUGACUUGGAAAAAUUCUAUGAGCAGAAUUUUUUAAGCAUCGGGUAGCAAUAAGUUAUUUUGGACGAGCCAAGAAAGAGGUAGUUAUCGAGUAGUUUUUGCCUGUCCUUUGUUUUCGGGUCGCGUUUGGUCGGUUUUAAGACAAAUAUUGUACAAGACGUCAUAUAUGGGUACCUAACGUGGAAAAAUUAUGUAACGACAUUUUCUAAGCAUGGAUUGGGUAGCAAUAAGUUAUUUUGGACGAGCCAAGAAAGAGGUAGUUAUCGUGGAGGUUUUGCAUGUCCUUUAUUUUUGAGUCGCGUUCGGUCAGUUUUAGGGCAAAUUCUGUACAAUAUGUAAUAUAUGGGUACCUAACUUGGAAAAAUUAUGUGAAUGGAAUUUUUUAAGCAUGGAUUGGGUUAUAAAAUGUUAUGUUGGACGAGCCACGAAAGAGUUAGUUAUCGAGGAUUUUUUGCGUGUCCUUUGUUUUCGAGUCGCGUUCCGUCGGUUUUAGGGUACAUUCCGUACAAGAUGUCAUGUAUGGUUACCUAACUUGGAAAAUUUGUAUGAACGGAAUUUUUUAAGCACGGAUUGGGUAGCUAAAAGUUAUUUUGGAUGAGCCAUGAAAGAGGUAGUUAUCAAGGAGUUUUUGCGUGUUCUUUGUUUUCAAGUCGCGUUUGGUCCGUUCAAGGGCAAAUUCUGUACAAGAUGUCAUAUAUGGGUACCUAAGUUUGAAUAAUUCUAUGAACGGCAUUUUUUAAGCAUGGAUUGGGUACCAAAAAGUUAUGUUGGACGAGCCACGAAAGAGGUAGUUACCGAGGAGUUUUUGCGUGUCUUUUGUUUUUGAGUCGCGUUUGGUCUGUUUUAGGGCAAAUUCUGUACAACAUGUAAUAUAUGGGUACCUAACUUGGAAAAAUUAUGUGAACGACAUUUUUAAGCAUGGAUUGGGUUAUAAAAAGUUAUGUUGGACGAGCCACGAAAGAGUUAGUAUCGAGGGGUUUUUGUGUGUCCUUUGUUUUCGAGUUGCGUUUGGUAGGUUUAAGGGCAAAUUAUGCACAAGCUGUCAUAUAUGGGUACCUAACUUGGAAAAAUUAUGUGAACGGCAUUUUUUAAUUAUGGAUUGGGUUAUAAAAAGUUAUGUUGGAGGAGCCACGAUAGAGUUAGUUAUCGAGGAGCUUUUGCGUGUCCUUUGUUUUCGAGUCGCGUUUGGUCGCUUUUAGGGCAAAUGCUGGACAAGCUGUCAUAUAUGGGUACCUAACUUGGAAAAAUUCUAUGAGCAGAAUUUUUUAAGCAUGGGGUAGCAAUAAGUUAUUUUGGACGAGCCAAGAAAGAGGUAGUUAUCGAGUAGUUUUUGCCUGUUCUUUGUUUUCGGGUCGCGUUUGGUCGGUUUUAAGACAAAUAUUGUACAAGACGUCAUAUAUGGGUACCUAACGUGGAAAAAUUAUGUAAACGACAUUUUCUAAGCAUGGAUUGGGUAGCAAUAAGUUAUUUUGGACGAGCCAAGAAAGAGGUAGUUAUCGUGGAGUUUUUGCAUGUCCUUUAUUUUUGAGUCGCGUUUGGUCGGUUUUAGGGCAAAUUCUGUACAAUAUGUAAUAUAUGGGUACCUAACUUGGAAAAAUUAUGUGAAUGGAAUUUUUUAAGCAUGGAUUGGGUUAUAAAAAGUUAUGUUGGACGAGCCACGAAAGAGUUAGUUAUCGAGGAUUUUUUGCGUGUCCUUUGUUUUUGAGUCGCAUUUGGUAGGUUUAAGGGCAAAUUAUGCACAAGAUGUCAUAUAUGGGUGCCUAACUUGGAAAAACUAUGUAAAGGGCAUUUUUAAGCAUGUAUUGGGUAGCAAAAAGUUAUUUUGGACGAGCCAUAAAAGAGGUAUUUAUCGAGGAGUUUUUGCGUGUCCUUUGUUUUCGAGUCGCAUUUGGUCCGUGUUUGGGCAAAUUCUGGACAAGCUGUCAUAUAUGGGUACCUCACUUGGAAAAAUUCUGUGACCAGCAUUUUUUAAGCAUGGAUUAGGUAGCAAUAAGUUAUUUUGGAUGAGCCAAGAAAGAGGUACUUAUCGAGUAGUUUUUCCGUGUCCUUUGUUUUGAGUCACGUUUGGUCGGUUUUAGGGCAAAUUCUGUACAAGACGUCAUAUAUGGGUACCUAACAUGGAAAAAUUCUGUGAACGAAAUUUUUUAAGCAUGGAUUAGGUAGCAAAAAUAUAUUUUGGACGAGCCACGAAAGAGGUAAUUAUCGAGGAGUUUCUGCGUGUCCUUUGUUUUUGAGUCGCGUUUGGUCGGUUUUAGGGUAAAUUCUGUACAAGAUGUCAUAUAUGGGUACCUAACUUGGAAAUAUUCUAUGAACGAUAUUUUUAAGCAUGGAUUGGGUAGCAAAAAGUUAUUUGGGCAAGCCAACAAAGAGGUAAUUAUCGAGGAGUUUCUGCGUGUCCUUUCUUUCCGAGUCGUGUUUGGUCGGUUUUAGGGCAAAUUCUGUAACAGAUGUCAUAUGUGGUACCUACCUUGGAAAUUUUCUGCGAACGGCAUUCUUUUAAGCAUGGACUUGGUAGCAAAAUUUAUUUUGGACGAGCCACAAAAGAGGUAGUUAUCAAUGAGUUUCUGCGUGUCCUUUGUUUUCGAGUCGCGCUUAGUCGGUUUCUGGGCAAAUUCUAUAACAGAUGCCAUAUAUGGUACCUAACUUCGAAAAUUUCUGUGAACGGUAUUUUUAAGCAUGGAUUGGGCAGCAAAAAGUUAUUUUGGACGUGCCACGAAAGAGGUAUUUAUCGAGGAGUUUUUGCGUGUCCUUUGUUUUCGAGUCUCGUUUGGUCGGUUUUAGUGUAAAUUUUGUACAAGAUGUCAUGUAUGGUUACCUAACUUGGAAAAUUUCUAUGAACGUAAUUUUUUAAGAAUGGAUUGGGUAGCUAAAAGUUAUUUUGGACGAGCCAAGAAAGAGGUGGUUAUAAAGGAGGUUUUGCGUGUCCUUUGUUUUCGAGUCGCGUUUGGUUGGUUCAAGGGCAAAUUCUGUACAAGAUGUCAUAUAUGGGUACCUAACUUGGAAAAAUUCUGUGAACGACAUUUUUUAAGCAUGGAUUGGGUAGCAAAAAGUUAUGUUGGACGAGCCACUAAAGAGUUAGUUAUCGAGGAGUUUUUGCGUGUCCUUUGUUUUUGAGUCGCGUUUGGUCGGUUUUAGGGCAACUUCCGUACAAGAUGUCAUAUAUGGGUACCUAACUUGGAAAAAUUCUAUGACCGGCUUUUUAAGCAUGGAUAGGGUAGCCAAUAGUUAUUUUGGACGAGCCACGAAAGAGGUAUUUAUCGAGGAGUUUUUGCGUGUCUUUUGUUGUCGAGUCGCGUUUGGUCGGUUUUAGGGUAAAUUCUGUACAAGAUGUCAUGUAUGGUUACCUAACUUGGAAACUUUCUAUGAACGGAAUUUUUUAAGAAUGGAUUGGGUAUCUAAAAGUUAUUUUGUACGAGCCAAGGAAGAGGUAGUUAUAGAGGAGGUUCUGCGUGUCCAUUGUUUUCGAGUCGCGUUUGGUUGGUUCAAGGGCAAAUUUUGUACAAGAUGUCAUAUAUGGGUACCUAACUUGGAAAAUUCUGUGAAUGACAUUUUUUAAGCAUUGAUUGGGUAGCCAAAAGUUAUGUUGGACGAGCCACUAAAGAGGUAGUUAUCGAGGAGUUUUUGCGUGUCCUUUGUUUUCGAGUCGCGUUUGGUCGAUUUUAGGGCAAAUUCUGUACAACAUGUGAUAUAUGGGUACCUAACUUUGGAAAAAUAAUAUGAAUGGCAUUUUUAUGCAUGGAUUGGGUAGCAAAAAGUUAUUUUGGAAGAGCCACGAAAGAGGUAGUUAUGGAGUCAAGUUUGCUCGGUUUUAGGGCAAAUUCUGUACAAGAUGUCAUAUAUGGGUACCUAACUUGGAAAAAUUCUAUGACCGGCUUUUUAAGCAUGGAUUGGGUAGCCAAAAGUUAUUUUGGACGAGCCAUGAAAGAGGUAGUUAUCAAGGAGUUUUUGCGUGUCCUUUGUUUCGAGUCGCGUUUGGUCGGUUUUAGGGCAAAUAUUGUACAACAUGUCAUAUAUGGGUACCUAACUUCCAAACAUUCGGUGAACGACAUUUUACAAGGAUGGAUUGGGUAGCAAAAAUUUAUGUUGAACAAGCCACGAUAGAGGUAGUUACUGACGAGUUUUUGCAUGUCCUUUGUUUUUGAGUCCUGUUUGGUCGGUUUUAGGGCAAAUUCUGUACAAGAUGUAAUAUAUGGGUACCUAACUUGGAACAAUUAUGUGAACGACAUUUUUAAGCACGGAUUGGGUUAUAAAAAGUUAUGUUGGACGAGCCACGAAAGAGUUAGUUAUCGAGGAGUUUUUGCGUGUCCUUUGUUUGGAUUGGGUAGCAAUAAGUUAUUUUGGGCAAGCCACCAAAGAGGUUAUUAUCGAGGAGUUUUUGCAUUUCGCGUUUGGUUGGUUUUAGGGAUAAUUCUGUAACAGAUGUCAUAUAUGGUACCUACCUUGGAAAUUUUCUGCGAACGGCAUUCUUUUAAGCAUGGACUUGGUAGCUAAAUCUAUUUUGGACGAGCCACAAGAGAGGUAGUUAUCGAGGAGUUUCUGCGUGUCCUUUGUUUUUGAGUCGCGUUUGGUCGGUUUUAGGGCAAAUUCUAUAACAGAUGCAAUAAAUGGUACCUAACUAGGAAAAUUUCUGUGAACGGCGUUUAAUAAGAAUGGAUUGGACAGCAAAAAGUUAUUUUGGACGAGCCACGAAAGAGGUAUUUAUCGAGGAGUUUUUGCGUGUCCUUUGUUUUCGAGUUGCGUUUGGUCGGUUUUAGGGUAAAUUAUGUACAAGAGGUCAUCUAUGGUUACCAACUUGGAAAAUUUCUAUGAACAGAGUUUUUUAUGAAUGGAUUGGGUAGCUAAAAGUUAUUUUGGACGAGCCAAGAAAGAGGUAGUUAUAGAGGAGGUUUUGCGUGUCCUUUGUUUUCGAGUCGCGUUUCGUAGGUUUAAGGGCAGAUUAUGCACAAGCUGUCAUAUAUGGGUACCUAACUUGGAAAAAUUAUGUGAACGGCAUUUUUUAAUUAUGGAUUGGGUUAUAAAAAGUUAUGUUGGAGGAGCCACGAUAGAGUUAGUUAUCGAGGAGCUUUUGCGUGUCCUUUGUUUUCGAGUCGCGUUUGGUCGCUUUUAGGGCAAAUGCUGGACAAGCUGUCAUAUAUGGGUACCUGACUUGGAAAAAUUCUAUGAGCAGAAUUUUUUAAGCAUUGGGUAGCAAUAAGUUAUUUUGGACGAGCCAAGAAAGAGGUAGUUAUCGAGUAGUUUUUGCCUGUCCUUUGUUUUCGGGUCGCGUUUGGUAGGUUUUAAGACAAAUAUUGUACAAGACGUCAUAUAUGGGUACCUAACGUGGAAAAAUUAUGUAAACGACAUUUUCUAAGCAUGGAUUGGGUAGCAAUAAGUUAUUUUGGACGAGCCAAGAAAGAGGUAGUUAUCGUGGAGUUUUUGCAUGUCCUUUAUUUUUGAGUCGCGUUUGGUCGGUUUUAGGGCAAAUUCUGUACAAUAUGUAAUAUAUGGGUACCUAACUUGGAAAAAUUAUGUGAAUGGAAUUUUUUAAGCAUGGAUUGGGUUAUAAAAUGUUAUAUUGGACGAGCCACGAAAGAGUUAGUUAUCGAGGAUUUUUUGCGUGUCCUUUGUUUUUGAGUCGCAUUUGGUAGGUUUAAGGGCAAAUUAUGCACAAGAUGUCAUAUAUGGGUGCCUAACUUGGAAAAACUAUGUAAAGGGCAUUUUUAAGCAUGUAUUGGGUAGCAAAAAGUUAUUUUGGACGAGCCAUAAAAGAGGUAUUUAUCGAGGAGUUUUUGCGUGUCCUUUGUUUUCAAGUCGCAUUUGGUCCGUGUUUGGGCAAAUUCUGGACAAGCUGUCAUAUAUGGGUACCUCACUUGGAAAAAUUCUGUGACCAGCAUUUUUUAAGCAUGGAUUAGGUAGCAAUAAGUUAUUUUGGAUGAGCCAAGAAAGAGGUAGUUAUCGAGUAGUUUUUCCGUGUCCUUUGUUUUGAGUCGCGUUUGGUCGGUUUUAGGGCAAAUUCUGUACAAGACGUCAUAUAUGGGUACCUAACAUGGAAAAAUUCCGUGAACGAAAUUUUUUAAGCAUGGAUUAGGUAGCAAAAAGUUAUUUUGGACGAGCCACGAAAGAGGUAAUUAUCGAGGAGUUUCUGCGUGUCCUUUGUUUUUGAGUCGCGUUUGGUCGGUUUUAGGGUAAAUUCUGUACAAGAUGUCAUAUAUGGGUACCUAACUUGGAAAUAUUCUAUGAACGANNNNNNNNNNUUUGUUUUCGAGUCUCGUUUGGUCGGUUUUAGGGUAAAUUUUGUACAAGAUGUCAUGUAUGGUUACCUAACUUGGAAAAUUUCUAUGAACGUAAUUUUUUAAGAAUGGAUUGGGUAGCUAAAAGUUAUUUUGGACGUGCCAAGAAAGAGGUAGUUAUAGAGGAGGUUUUGCGUGUCCUUUGUUUUCGAAUCGCGUUUGGUUGGUUCAAGGGCAAAUUCUGUACAAGAUGUCAUAUAUGGGUACCUAACUUGGAAAAAUUCUGUGAACGACAUUUUUUAAGCAUGGAUUGGGUAGCAAAAAGUUAUGUUGGACGAGCCACUAAAGAGUUAGUUAUCGAGGAGUUUUUGCGUGUCCUUUGUUUUCGAGUCACGUUUGAUCGGUUUUAGGGCAAAUUCUAUACAACAUGUCAUAUAUGGGUACUUAACUUUGGAAAAAUUCUGUGAAUGGAAUUUUUUAAGCAUGGAUUGGGUAGAAAAAAUUUAUUUUGGAAGAGCCACAAAAGAGGUAGUUAUCGAGGAGUUUUUGCAUGUCAAUUGUUUUUGAGUCGCGUUUGGUCGGUUUUAGGGCAAAUUCCGUACAAGAUGUCAUAUAUGGGUACCUAACUUGGAAAAAUUCUAUGACCGUCUUUUUAAGCAUGGAUAGGGUAGCCAAAAGUUAUUUUGGACGAGCCACGAAAGAGGUAUUUAUCGAGGAGUUUUUGCGUGUCUUUUGUUGUCGAGUCGCGUUUGGUCGGUUUUAGGGUAAAUUCUGUACAAGAUGUCAUGUAUGGUUACCUAACUUGGAAACUUUCUAUGAACGGAAUUUUUUAAGAAUGGAUUGGGUAUCUAAAAGUUAUUUUGUACGAGCCAAGGAAGAGGUAGUUAUAGAGGAGGUUCUGCGUGUCCAUUGUUUUCGAGUCGCGUUUGGUUGGUUCAAGGGCAAAUUUUGUACAAGAUGUCAUAUAUGGGUACCUAACUUGGAAAAAUUCUGUGAAUGACAUUUUUUAAGCAUUGAUUGGGUAGCCAAAACUUAUGUUGGACGAGCCACUAAAGAGGUAGUUAUCGAGGAGUUUUUGCGUGUCCUUUGUUUUUGAGUCGCGUUUGGUCGAUUUUAGGGCAAAUUCUGUACAAGAUGUCAUAUAUGGGUACCUAACUUGGAAAAAUUCUAUGACCGGCUUUUUAUGCAUGGAUUGGGUAGCCAAAAGUUAUUUUGGACGAGCCAAGAAAGAGGUAGUUAUCGAGUAGUUUUUGCCUGUCCUUUGUUUUCGGGUCGCGUUUGGUAGGUUUUAAGACAAAUAUUGUACAAGACGUCAUAUAUGGGUACCUAACGUGGAAAAAUUAUGUAAACGACAUUUUCUAAGCAUGGAUUGGGUAGCAAUAAGUUAUUUUGGACGAGCCAAGAAAGAGGUAGUUAUCGUGGAGUUUUUGCAUGUCCUUUAUUUUUGAGUCGCGUUUGGUCGGUUUUAGGGCAAAUUCUGUACAAUAUGUAAUAUAUGGGUACCUAACUUGGAAAAAUUAUGUGAAUGGAAUUUUUUAAGCAUGGAUUGGGUUAUAAAAUGUUAUAUUGGACGAGCCACGAAAGAGUUAGUUAUCGAGGAUUUUUUGCGUGUCCUUUGUUUUUGAGUCGCAUUUGGUAGGUUUAAGGGCAAAUUAUGCACAAGAUGUCAUAUAUGGGUGCCUAACUUGGAAAAACUAUGUAAAGGGCAUUUUUAAGCAUGUAUUGGGUAGCAAAAAGUUAUUUUGGACGAGCCAUAAAAGAGGUAUUUAUCGAGGAGUUUUUGCGUGUCCUUUGUUUUCAAGUCGCAUUUGGUCCGUGUUUGGGCAAAUUCUGGACAAGCUGUCAUAUAUGGGUACCUCACUUGGAAAAAUUCUGUGACCAGCAUUUUUUAAGCAUGGAUUAGGUAGCAAUAAGUUAUUUUGGAUGAGCCAAGAAAGAGGUAGUUAUCGAGUAGUUUUUCCGUGUCCUUUGUUUUGAGUCGCGUUUGGUCGGUUUUAGGGCAAAUUCUGUACAAGACGUCAUAUAUGGGUACCUAACAUGGAAAAAUUCCGUGAACGAAAUUUUUUAAGCAUGGAUUAGGUAGCAAAAAGUUAUUUUGGACGAGCCACGAAAGAGGUAAUUAUCGAGGAGUUUCUGCGUGUCCUUUGUUUUUGAGUCGCGUUUGGUCGGUUUUAGGGUAAAUUCUGUACAAGAUGUCAUAUAUGGGUACCUAACUUGGAAAUAUUCUAUGAACGACAUUUUUAAGCAUGGAUUGGGUAGCAAAAAGUUAUUUUGGGCAAGCCAACAAAGAGGUAAUUAUCGAGGAGUUUCUGCGUGUCCUUUCUUUCCGAGUCGUGUUUGGUCGGUUUUAGGGCAAAUUCUGUAACAGAUGUCAUAUGUGGUACCUACCUUGGAAAUUUUCUGCGAACGGCAUUCUUUUAAGCAUGUACUUGGUAGCAAAAUUUAUUUUGGACGAGCCACAAAAGAGGUAGUUAUCAAGGAGUUUCUGCGUGUCCUUUUUUUCGAGUCGCGCUUGGUCGGUUUCUCGGAAAUUCUAUAACAGAUGCCAUAUAUGGUACCUAACUUGGAAAAUUUCUGUGAACGGUAUUUUUAAGCAUGGAUUGGGCAGCAAAAAGUUAUUUUGGACGUCCCACGAAAGAGGUAUUUAUCGAGGAGUUUUUGCGUGUCCUUUGUUUUCGAGUCUCGUUUGGUCGGUUUUAGGGUAAAUUUUGUACAAGAUGUCAUGUAUGGUUACCUAACUUGGAAAAUUUCUAUGAACGUAAUUUUUUAAGAAUGGAUUGGGUAGCUAAAAGUUAUUUUGGACAUGCCAAGAAAGAGGUAGUUAUAGAGGAGGUUUUGCGUGUCCUUUGUUUUCGAAUCGCGUUUGGUUGGUUCAAGGGCAAAUUCUGUACAAGAUGUCAUAUAUGGGUACCUAACUUGGAAAAAUUCUGUGAACGACAUUUUUUAAGCAUGGAUUGGGUAGCAAAAAGUUAUGUUGGACGAGCCACUAAAGAGUUAGUUAUCGAGGAGUUUUUGCGUGUCCUUUGUUUUCGAGUCACGUUUGAUCGGUUUUAGGGCAAAUUCUAUACAACAUGUCAUAUAUGGGUACUUAACUUUGGAAAAAUUCUGUGAAUGGCAUUUUUUAAGCAUGGAUUGGGUAGAAAAAAUUUAUUUUGGAAGAGCCACAAAAGAGGUAGUUAUCGAGGAGUUUUUGCAUGUCAAUUGUUUUUGAGUCGCGUUUGGUCGGUUUUAGGGCAAAUUCCGUACAAGAUGUCAUAUAUGGGUACCUAACUUGGAAAAAUUCUAUGACCGUCUUUUUAAGCAUGGAUAGGGUAGCCAAAAGUUAUUUUGGACGAGCCACGAAAGAGGUAUUUAUCAAGGAGUUUUUGCGUGUCUUUUGUUGUCGAGUCGCGUUUGGUCGGUUUUAGGGUAAAUUCUGUACAAGAUGUCAUGUAUGGUUACCUAACUUGGAAACUUUCUAUGAACGGAAUUUUUUAAGAAUGGAUUGGGUAUCUAAAAGUUAUUUUGUACGAGCCAAGGAAGAGGUAGUUAUAGAGGAGGUUCUGCGUGUCCAUUGUUUUCGAGUCGCGUUUGGUUGGUUCAAGGGCAAAUUUUGUACAAGAUGUCAUAUAUGGGUACCUAACUUGGAAAAAUUCUGUGAAUGACAUUUUUUAAGCAUUGAUUGGGUAGCCAAAACUUAUGUUGGACGAGCCACUAAAGAGGUAGUUAUCGAGGAGUUUUUGCGUGUCCUUUGUUUUCGAGUCGCGUUUGGUCGAUUUUAGGGCAAAUUCUGUACAAGAUGUCAUAUAUGGGUACCUAACUUGGAAAAAUUCUAUGACCGGCUUUUUAUGCAUGGAUUGGGUAGCCAAAAGUUAUUUUGGACGAGCCAUGAAAGAGGUAGUUAUCAAGGAGUUUUUGCGUGUCCUUUGUUUCGAGUCGCGUUUGGUCGGUUUUAGGGCAAAUAUUGUACAACAUGUCAUAUAUGGGUACCUAACUUGCAAACAUUCGGUGAACGACAUUUUAUAAGGAUGGAUUGGGUAGCAAAAAUUUAUGUGGAACAAGCCACGAUAGAGGUAGUUACUGAAGAGUUUUUGCAUGUCCUUUGUUUUUGAGUCGUGUUUGGUUGGUUUUAGGGCAAAUUCUGUACAAGAUGUAAUAUAUGGGUACCUAACUUGGAACAAUUAUGUGAACGACAUUUUUAAGCACGGAUUGGGUUAUAAAACGUUAUGUUGGACGAGCCACGAAAGAGUUAGUUAUCGAGGAGUUUUUGCGUGUCCUUUGUUUGGAUUGGGUAGCAAUAAGUUAUUUUGGGCAAGCCACCAAAGAGGUAAUUAUUGAGGAGUUUCUGAAUGUCGCGUGGUUGGUUUUAGGGAUAAUUCCGUAACAGAUGUCAUAUAUGGUACCUACCUUGGACAUUUUCUGCGAACGGCAUUCUUUUAAGCAUGGACAUGGUAGCUAAAUCUAUUUUGGACGAGCCCCAAAAGAGGUAGUUAUCGAGGAGUUUCUGCGUGUCCUUUGUUUUUGAGUCGCGUUUGGUCGGUUUUAGGGCAAAUUCUAUAACAGAUGCCAUAUAUGGUACCUAACUAGGAAAAUUUCUGUGAACGGCGUUUUUUAAGAAUGGAUUGGACAGCAAAAAGUUAUUUUGGACGAGCCACGAAAGAGGUAUUUAUCGAGGAGUUUUUGCGUGUCCUUUGUUUUCGAGUUGCAUUUGGUCGGUUUUAGGGUAAAUUAUGUACAAGAGGUCAUCUAUGGUUACCUACUUGGAAAAUUUCUAUGAACAGAGUUUUUUAUGAAUGGAUUGGGUAGCUAAAAGUUAUUUUGGACGAGCCAAGAAAGAGGUAGUUAUAGAGGAGGUUCUGCGUGUCCUUUGUUUUCGAGUCGCGUUUGGUUUGUUCAAGGGCAAAUUCUGUACUUGAUGUCAUAUAUGGGUACCUAACUUAGAAAAAUUCUGUGAACGACAUUUUUAAGCAUGGACUGGGUAGCAAAAAGUUAUGUUGGACGAGCCACUAAAGAGGUAGUUAUCGAGGAGUUUUUGCGUGUCCUUUGUUUUUGAGUCGCGUUUGGUCGGUUUUAGGGCAUAUUCUGUACAACAUGUCAUAUAUGGGUACCUAACUUUGGAAAAAUUCUGUGAAUGGCAUCUUUUAAGCAUGGAUUGGGUAGCAAAAAGUUAUUUUGGAAGAGCCACGAAAGAGGUAGUUAUCGAGGAGUUUUUGCAUGUCAUUUGCUUUCGAGUCGCGUUUGGUCGGUUUUAGGGAAAAUUCUGUACAACAUGUCAUAUAUGGGUUGGGUUAUAAAAAGUUAUGUUGGACGAGCCACGAAAGAGUUAGUUAUCGCGGAGUGUUUGCGUGUCCUUUGUUUUUGAGUCGCAUUUGGUAGGUUUAAGGGCAAAUUAUGCACAAGAUGUCAUAUAUGGGUACCUAACUUGGAAAAAUUAUGUAAACGGCAUUUUUAAGCAUGGAUUGGGUAGCAAAAAGUUAUUUUGGACGAGCCAUAAAAGAGAUAUUUAUCCAGGAGUUUUUGCGUGUCCUUUGUUUUCGAGUCACAUUUGGUUGGUUUUAGGGCAAAUUCUGGACAAGCUGUCAUAUAUGGGUACCUAACUUGGAAAAAUUAUGUGACCAGCAUUUUUUAAGCAUGGAUUAGGUAGCAAUAAGUUAUUUUGGAUGAGCCAAGAAAGAGGUAGUUAUCGAGUAUUUUUUCCGUGUCCUUUGUUUUUGAGUCGCGUUUGGUCGGUUUUAGGGCAAAUUCUGUACAAGACGUCAUAUAUGGAUACCUAACAUGGAAAAAUUCUGUGAACGAAAUUUUUUAAGCAUUGAUUGGGUAGCAAAAAGUUAUUUUGGACAAGCCACGAAAGAGGUAGUUAUGGAGGAAUUUUUGCGUGUCCUUUGUUUUUGAGUCGCGUUUCGUCGGUUUUAGGGUAAAUUCUGUACAAGAUGUCAUAUAUGGGUACCAAACUUGGAAAUAUUCUGUGGACGACAUUUUUAAGCAUGGAUUGGGUAGCAAAAAGUUAUUUUGGGCAAGCCGCCAAAGAGGUAAUUAUCGAGGAGUUUCUGCGUGUCCUUUCCUUCAGAGUCGUGUUUGGUCGGUUUUAGGGCCAAUUCUAUAACAGAUGUCAUAAUGGUACCUACCUUGGAAAUUUUCUGUGAACGGCAUUUUUUAAGCAUGGAUUUGGUAGCAAAAUUUAUUUUGGACGAGCCACAAAAGAGGUAGUUAUCGAGGACUUUCUACGUGUCCUUUGUUUUCGAGUCGCGUUUGGUCGGUUUUAGGGCAAAUUCUAUAACAGAUGCCAUAUAUGGUAGCUAACUUGGAAAAUUUCUGUGAACGACAUUUUUUAAGCAUGGAUUGGGCAGCAAAAAGUUAUUUUGGACGUGCCACGAAAGAGGUAUUUAUCGAGGAGUUUUUGCGUGUCCUUUGUUUUCGAGUCGCGUUUGGUCGGUUUUAGGGUAAAUUCUAUACAAGAUGUCAUGUAUGGUUACCUUACUUGGAAAAUUUCUAUGAACGGAAUUUUUUAAGAAUGGAUUGGGUAGCUAAAGUUAUUUUGGACGAGCCAAGAAAGAGGUAGUUAUAGAGGAGGUUUUGCGUGUCCUUUGUUUUCGAGUCGCGUUUGGUUGGUUCAAGGGCAAAUUCUGUACAAGAUGUCAUAUAUGGGUACCUAACUUGGAAAAAUUCCGUGAACGACAUUUGUUAAGCAUGGAUUGGGUAGCAAAAAGUAAUGUUGGACGAGCCACUAAAGAGGUAGUUAUCGAGGAGUUUUUGCGUGUCCUUUGUUUUCGAUUGGCGUUUGGUCGGUUUUAGCGCAAAUUCUGUACAACAUGUCAUAUAUGUGUACCUAACUUUGGAAUAAUUCUGUGAAUGGCAUUUUUUAAGCAUGGAUUGGGUAGAAAAAAGUUAUAUUGGAAGAGCCACGAAAGAGGUAGUUAUCGAGGAGUUUUUGCAUGUCAUUUGUUUUUGAGUCACAUUUGGUCGAUUUUAGGGAAAAUUCUGUACAAGAUGUCAUAUAUGGGUACCAAACUUGGAAAAAUUAUAUGACCGGCUUUUUAAGCAUGGAUUGGGUAGCCAAAAGUUAUUUUGGACGAGCCACAAAAGAGGUAUUUAUCGAGGAGUUUUUGCGUGUCAUUUGUUGUCGAGUCGCGUUUGGUCGGUUUUAGGGUAAAUUCUGUACAAGAUGUCAUGUAUUGUUACCUAACUUGGAAAAUUUCUAUGAGCGGAAUUUUUUAAGAAUGGAUUGGGUAGCUAAAAGUUAUUUUGGAUGAGCCAAGGAAGAGGUAGUUAUAGAGGAGGUUUUGCGUGUCCUUUGUUUUCGAGUCGCGUUUCGUUGGUUCAAGGGCAAAUUUGGGACAAGAUGUCAUAUAUGGGUACCUACUUGGAAAAAUUCUGUCAAUGACAUUUUUUAAGCAUAGAUUGGGUAGCAGAAAGUUAUGUUGGAUGAGCCACUAAAGAGGUAGUUAUCGAGGAGUUUUUGCGUGUCCUUUGUUUUCGAGUCGCAUUUGGUCGGUUUUAGGGCAAAUUCUGCACAGCAUGUCAUAUAUGGGUACCUAACUUUGGGAAAAUUCUAUGAAUGGCAUUUUUAAGCAUGGAUUGGGUAGCAAAAAGUUAUUUUGGAAGGCCACCAAAGAGGUAGUUAUCGAGUCACGUUUGGUCGGUUUUAGGGCAAAUUCUGUACAAGAUGUCAUAUAUGGGUACCUAACUUGGAAAAAUUCUAUGACCGGCUUUUUAAGCAUGGAUUGGGUAGCCAAAAUUUAUUUUGGACGAGCCAUGAAAGAGGUAGUUAUCAAGGAGUUUUUGCGUAUCCUUUGUUUCGAGUCGCGUUUGGUCGGUUUUAGGACAAAUUUUGUACAACAUGUCAGAUAUGGGUACCUAACUUGGAAACAUUCGGUGAACAACAUUUUAUAAGUAUGGAUUGGGUAGCAAAAAUUUAUGUUGGACGAGCCAAGAUAGAGGUAGUUACCGAGGAGUUUUUGCAUGUCCUUUGUUUUUGAGUCGCGUUUGGUCGGUUUUAGGGCAAAUUCUGUACAACAUGUAAUAUAUGGGUACCUAACUUGGAAAAAUUAUGUGAACAACAUUUUUAAACAUGGAUUGGGUUUUAAAAAUUUAUGUUGGACGAGCCACGAAAGACUUAGUUAUCGACGAGUUUUUUUGUGUCCUUUGUUUUCGAGUCCCGUUUGGUAGGUAUAAGGGCAAAUUAUGCACAAGUUUUCAUAUAUGGGUACCUAACAUGGAAAAAUUAUGUAAACAACAUUUUUUAAGCAUGGAUUGGGUAGCAAAAAGUUAUUUUGGACAAGCCAUGAAAGUGGUAUUUAUCGAAGAGUUUUUGCGUGUCCUUUGUUUCGAGUCGUGUUUGGUCGGUUUUAGGGAAAAUUCUGGACAAGCUAUCACAUAUGGGUACCUAACUUGGAAAAAUUCUUUGAGCAGCAUUUUUUAAGCAUGGAUUGGGUAGCACUAAGUUAUUUUGGAUGAGCCAAGAAAUAGGUAGUUAUCGAGUAGUUUUUGCAUGUCAUUUGUUUUCGAGUCACGUUUGGUCGGUUUUAGGGCAAAUUCUAUACAUGACGUCAUAUAUGGGUACCUAACGUGGAAAAAUUAUGUAAAUGACAUUUUUUAAGCAUGGAUUGGGUAGGAAAAAGUUUUUUUUGGACGAGACAUGAAAGAGGUAGUUAUCGAGGAGUUUUUGCGUGUCCUUUGUUUUUUGAGUCGCGUUUGGUUGGUUUUAGGGCAAAUUCCGUACAAGAUGUAAUAUAUGGGUACCUAACUUGGAAAAAUUAUGUGAACAGCAUUUUUAAUUCUGGAUUGGCUUAUAAAAAGUUAUCUUCGAGGAGCCACGAUAGAGUUAGUUAUCGAGGAGUUUUUGCGUGUCCUUUGUUUUCGAGUCGCGUUUGGUCGGUUUUAGGACAAAUUCUGUACAACAUGUCAUAUAUGGGUACCUAACUUUGGAAAAAUUCUGUNNNNNNNNNNNNNNNNNNNNNNNNNNNNNNNNNNNNNNNNNNNNNNNNNNNNNNNNNNNNNNNNNNNNNNNNNNNNNNNNNNNNNNNNNNNNNNNNNNNNNNNNNNNNNNNNNNNNNNNNNNNNNNNNNNNNNNNNNNNNNNNNNNNNNNNNNNNNNNNNNNNNNNNNNNNNNNNNNNNNNNNNNNNNNNNNNNNNNNNNNNNNNNNNNNNNNNNNNNNNNNNNNNNNNNNNNNNNNNNNNNNNNNNNNNNNNNNNNNNNNNNNNNNNNNNNNNNNNNNNNNNNNNNNNNNNNNNNNNNNNNNNNNNNNNNNNNNNNNNNNNNNNNNNNNNNNNNNNNNNNNNNNNNNNNNNNNNNAUGACAUUUUUCAAGCAUGGAUUGGGUAGCAAAAAGUUAUGUUGGACGAGCCACUAAAGAGGUAGUUAUCGAGGAGUUUUUGCGUGUCCUUUGUUUUCGAGUCGCGUUUGGUCGGUUUUAGGGCAAAUUCUGUACAACAUGUCAUAUAUGGCUACCUCACUUUGGAAAAAUUCUGUGACUGGCAUUUUUUAAGCAUGGAUUGGGUAGCAAAAAGUUAUUUUGGAAGAGCCAUGAAAGAGGUAGUUAUCGAGUCACGUUUGGUCGAUUUUAGGGCAAAUUCUAUACAAGAUGUCAUAUAUGGGUACCUAACUUGGAAAAAUUCUAUGACCGGGUUUUUAAGCAUGGAUUGGGUAGCCAAAAGUUAUUUUGGACGAGCCAUGAAAGAGAUAGUUAUGGAGGAGUUUUUGCGUGUCCUUUGUUUCGAGUCGCGUUUGGUCGGUUUUAGGGCAAAUUUUGUACAACAUGUCAUAUAUGGGUACCUAACUUGGAAACAUUCGGUGAACGACAUUUUAUAAGGAUGGAUUGGGUAGCAAAAAUUUAUGUUGGACGAGCCACGAAAGAGGUAGUUACCAAGGAGUUUUUGCAUGUUCUUUGUUUUUGAGUCGCGUUUGGUCGGUUUUAGGGCAAAUUUUGUACAAGAUGUAAUAUAUGGGUACCUAACUUGGAAAAAUUAUGUGAAUGGCAUUUUUAAGCAUGGAUUGGGUUAUUAAAAGUUAUGUUGGACGAGCCACGAAAGAGUUAGUUAUCGAGGAGUUUUCCCUGUCCUUUGUUUUCAAGUCGCGUUUGGUAGGUUUAAGGCCAAAUUAUGCACAAGUUUUUAUAUAUGGGUACCUAACUUGGAAAAAUUAUGUAAACAGCAUUUUUUAAGCAUGGAUUGGGUAGCAAAAAGUUAUUUUGGACAAGCCAUGAAAGUGGUAUUUAUCGAACAGUUUUUGCGUGUCCUUUGUUUUCGAGUCGUGUUUGGUCGGUUUUAGGGCAAAUUCUGGACAAGCUAUCACAUAUGGGUACCUAACUUGGAAAAAUUCUGUGAGCAGCAUUUUUUAAGCAUGGAUUGGGUAGCACUAAGUUAUUUGGGAUGAGCCAAGAAAAAGGUAGUUAUCGAGUAGUUUUUGCAUGUCAUUUGUUUUCGAGUCGCGUUUGGUCGGUUUUAGGGCAAAUUCUAUACAAGACGUCAUAUAUGGGUACCUAACGUGGAAAAAUUAUGUAAACGAUAUUUUUUAAGCAUGGAUUGGGUAGCAAAAAGUUUUUUUGGACGAGCCAUGAAAGAGAUAGUUAUGAAGGAGUUUUUGCAUGUCCUUUGUUUCGAGUCGCGUUUGGUCGGUUUUAGGGCAAAUUUUGUACAACAUGUCAUAUAUGGGUACCUAACUUGGAAACAUUCGGUGAACGACAUUUUAUAAGGAUGGAUUGGGUAGCAAAAAUUUAUGUUGGACGAGCCACGAAAGAGGUCGUUACCAAGGAGUUUUUGCAUGUUCUUUGUUUUUGAGUCGCGUUUGGUCGGUUUUAGGGCAAAUUCUGUACAAGAUGUAAUAUAUGGGUACCUAAUUUUGGAAAAAUUCUAUGAAUGGCAUUUUUAAGCAUGGAUUGGGUAGCCAAAAGUUAUUUUGGAAGAGCCACGAAAGAGGUAGUUAUCGAGUCACGUUUGGUCGGUUUUAGGGCAAAUUCUGUACAAGAUGUCAUAUAUGGGUACCUAAGUUGGAAAAAUUCUAUGACCAGCUUUUUAAGCAUGGAUUGGGUAGCCAAAAUUUAUUUUGGACGAGCCAUGAAAGAGGUAGUUAUCAAGGAGUUUUUGCGUAUCCUUUGUUUCGAGUCGCGUUUGGUCGGUUUUAGGGCAAAUUUUGUACAACAUGUCAGAUAUGGGUACCUAACUUGGAAACAUUCGGUGAACAACAUUUUAUAAGUAUGGAUUGGGUAACAAAAAUUUAUGUUGGACGAGCCACGAUAGAGGUAGUUACCGAGGAGUUUUUGCAUGUCCUUUGUUUUUGAGUCGCGUUUGGUCGGUUUUAGGGCAAAUUCUGUACAACAUGGAAUAUAUGGGUACUUACUUGGAAAAAUUAUGUGAACAACAUUUUUAAACAUGGAUUGGGUUAUGAAAAUUUAUGUUGGACGAGCCACGAAAGACUUAGUUAUCGAGGAGUUUUUGUGUGUCCUUUGUUUUCGAGUCCCGUUUGGUAGGUAUAAGGGAAAAUUAUGCACAAGUUUUCAUAUGUGGGUACCUAACAUGGAAAAAUUAUGUAAACAACAUUUUUUAAGCAUGGAUUGGGUAGCAAAAAGUUAUUUUGGACAAGCCAUGAAAGUGGUAUUUAUCGAAGAGUUUUUGCGUGUCCUUUGUGUCGAGUCGUGUUUGGUCGGUUUUAGGGAAAAUUCUGGACAAGCUAUCACAUAUGGGUACCUAACUUGGAAAAAUUCUGUGAGCAGCAUUUUUUAAGCAUGGAUUGGGUAACACUAAGUUAUUUUGGAUGAGCCAAGAAAUAGGUAGUUAUCGAGUAGUUUUUGCAUGUCAUUUGUUUUCGAGUCACGUUUGGUCGGUUUUAGGGCAAAUUCUAUACAAGACGUUAUAUAUGGGUACCUAACGUGGAAAAAUUAUGUAAACGACAUUUUUAAGCAUGGAUUGGGUAGGAAAAAGUUUUUUUGGACGAGACAUGAAAGAGGUAUUUAUCGAGGAGUUUUUGCGUGUCCUUUGUUUUCGAGUCACGUUUGGUCGGUUUUAGGGCAAAUUCUAAACAAGCUGUCAUAUAUGGGUACCUAACUUGGAAAUAUUCUGUGAGUAGCAUUUUCAAGCAUGGAUUGGGUAGCAAUAAGUUAUUUUGGACGAGCCAAGAAAGAGGUAGUUAUCAAGGAGUUUUUGCGUGUCCUUUGUUUUUUGAGUCGCGUUUGGUUGGUUUUAGGGAAAAUUCCGUACAAGAUGUAAUAUAUGGGUACCUAACUUGGAAAAAUUAUGUGAACAGCAUUUUUAAUUCUGGAUUGGCUUAUAAAAAGUUAUGUUGGACGAGCCACUAAAGAGGUAGUUAUCGAGGAGUUUUUGCGUGUCCUUUGUUUUCGAGUCGCGUUUGGUCGGUUUUAGGGCAAAUUCUGUACAACAUGUCAUAUAUGGCUACCUAACUUUGGAAAAAUUCUGUGACUGGCAUUUUUUAAGCAUGGAUUGGGUAGCAAAAAGUUAUUUUGGAAGAGCCACGAAAGAGGUAGUUAUCGAGUCACGUUUGGUCGAUUUUAGGGCAAAUUCUGUACAAGAUGUCAUAUAUGGGUACCUAACUUGGAAAAAUUCUAUGACCGGGUUUUUAAGCAUGGAUUGGGUAGCCAAAAGUUAUUUUGGACGAGCCAUGAAAGAGAUAGUUUUGAAGGAGUUUUUGCGUGUCCUUUGUUUUGAGUCGCGUUUGGUCGGUUUUAGGGCAAAUUUUGUACAACAUGUCAUAUAUGGGUACCUAACUUGGAAACAUUCGGUGAACGACAUUUUAUAAGGAUGGAUUGGGUAGCAAUAAUUUAUGUUGGACGAGCCACGAAAGAGGUAGUUACCAAGGAGUUUUUGCAUGUUCUUUGUUUUUGAGUCGCGUUUGGUCGGUUUUAGGGCAAAUUCUGUACAAGAUGUAAUAUAUGGGUACCUAACUUGGAAAAAUUAUGUGAACGGCAUUUUUAAGCAUGGAGUGGGUUAUAAAAAGUUAUGUUGGACGAGCCACGAAAGAGUUAGUUAUCGAGGAGUUUUCCGUGUCCUUUGUUUUCAAGUCGCGUUUGGUAGGUUUAAGGGCAAAUUAUGCACAAGUUUUCAUAUAUGGGUACCUAACUUGGAAAAAUUAUGUAAACAGCAUUUUUUAAGCAUGGAUUGGGUAGCAAAAAGUUAUUUUGGACAAGCCAUGAAAGUGGUAUUUAUCGAACAGUUUUUGCGUGUCCUUUGUUUUCGAGUCGUGUUUGGUCGGUUUUAGGGCAAAUUCUGGACAAGCUAUCACAUAUGGGUACCUAACUUGGAAAAAUUCUGUGAGCAGCAUUUUUUAAGCUUGGAUUGGGUAGCAAUAAGUUAUUUUGGAUGAGCCAUGAAAGAGGUAUUUAUCGAGGAGUUUUUGCGUGUCCUUUGUUUUCGAGUCGUGUUUCGUCGGUUUUAGGGCAAAUUCUAGACAAGCUGUCAUAUAUGGGUACCUAACUUGGAAAAAUUCUGUGAGUAGCAUUUUCAAGCAUGGAUUGGGUAGCAAUAAGUUAUUUUGGACGAGCCAAGAAAGAGGUAGUUAUCGAGGAGUUUUUGCGUGUCCUUUGUUUUUUGAGUCGCAUUUGGUUGUUUUUAGGGCAAAUUCCGUACAAGAUGUAAUAUAUGGGUACCAAACUUGGAAAAAUUAUGUGAACGGCAUUUUUAAUUAUGGAUUGGGUAAUAAAAAGUUAUGUUGGAGGAGCCACGAUAGAGUUAGUUAUCGAGGAGUUUUUGCGUGUCCUUUGUUUUCGAGUCGCGUUUGGUCGGUUUUAGGGCAAAUUCUGUACAACAUGUCAUAUAUGGGUGUAACACCCCAGAUGUAACUUUCCAUAUUUGCAACUUCAACUCUUGCCAUUUUUGGCUAUGUGUUAUGACAUUCCCUUCAUGGUCGGGUUUUGUUUUCCGUUUUGCAUUUUUCUUUUGUCAUGCAUCUCAUAUCAUGUCAUCAUGUGCAUUGCAUUUGCAUACGUGUUCGUCUAUUGCAUCCGAGCAUUUUCCCAGUUGUCUGUUUUGCAAUCCGGCACUCCCACCUCCUCCGGCGCACCCUCUUGUUUUCUUUUCGUGAGCGGGUGUUGAACAUUCUCGAAAUGGACCGAGGCUUGCCAAGCGGCCUUGGUAUACCACCGGUAGACCACCUGUCAAGUUUCGUUCCAUUUGGAGGUCGUUUGGUACUCCAACGGUUAACCGGGCAACCGCAAAGUCCUUUUGUGUGUUGCAGCAAAAUCCCCCUCCUAAUAGCCCAAAACCCAUCUAAGUCACUUCCAUGCUCUAGGUCGUUCGAUCACGAUCGUGUGGGCGAAAAUCGUGCUCAAUUUGGAGUCUCCUAGCUCCCUUUACCUAUAAAAACACCUCCCCCUCCGAAAUCUGGGCGAAACCCUAGCAAAAAUCGUCCUCCGCGCCGCCGGACGCGUCCACUCCCGCCGGACGAANNNNNNNNNNNNNNNNNNNNNNNNNNNNNNNNNNNNNNNNNNNNNNNNNNNNNNNNNNNNNNNNNNNNNNNNNNNNNNNNNNNNNNNNNNNNNNNNNNNNNNNNNNNNNNNNNNNNNNNNNNNNNNNNNNNNNNNNNNNNNNNNNNNNNNNNNNNNNNNNNNNNNNNNNNNNNNNNNNNNNNNNNNNNNNNNNNNNNNNNNNNNNNNNNNNNNNNNNNNNNNNNNNNNNNNNNNNNNNNNNNNNNNNNNNNNNNNNNNNNNNNNNNNNNNNNNNNNNNNNNNNNNNNNNNNNNNNNNNNNNNNNNNNNNNNNNNNNNNNNNNNNNNNNNNNNNNNNNNNNNNNNNNNNNNNNNNNNNNNNNNNNNNNNNNNNNNNNNNNNNNNNNNNNNNNNNNNNNNNNNNNNNNNNNNNNNNNNCCGCGCUCUCCGCCGCCCGGGCGCCUCGCCCGACCGCGCCCGACCCCGGCGCCUCCUCCUGCUCUCUUCCCCGACCGCCGCGCCUCUCCUUCCUCCGGCCUCGUCCUCUCCCGACUCCGGCGAGCUCGAGCUCAAACCCUAGCUCCGGGGAGCUCCCGAUCCGAUCUGUCCAGAGGUUGACUUUCCCUCCCCCCGUUUUUUCUCCAAGUCCCGAGCAUUUUUACAUUCUAUUGCAUACUUUGACACAUCAUAACUCUCUGAAUAUAGCUCUGUUUCAUGCGUGUAAUAUAUCAAAAUGUUCAUCUCGAGAUGCUCUUCAUUUUGUUCCAUUGCACCAUGUUCAUUUGUGUCCAUCUUGAGGCCCAAAUCUCUGGUGCAAGAGUGCUAGUUGCUGUUAACUGCUGUUACUUAUCAGAACUUGAGGAUUUGUUAUUUUUGUUGCUAUUGAUGUGUGCAUCUUAUGAGUAGGAUCUCAACAGGUGUAUUGAUGUAUGCCAUUCCAUCUUUACAGAGGUGUAUGCCAUGUAUUUUGGUGAUCUCUGUGGUGACUAGCACAAGCAUGCAAACUAGGCUUCGUAAUGUUUCUGAUUUCAGGGACUUCGUAAUUUUACCAAGUCUGUGACUGCUGUUAUUGUGUUGCUAUGUAUCCAUGUGGCUACAGAGCGAUCCAUGCUUAUUUUGGAGAUGUUUAGUAAGAAUCUUUUGUAGAUAUAGUUGUGCGCUAUCCAUCCAUGCCUCUUUUUGCAAUUAUCGAGUGACAUAGCUUGACUCAAUUUUGCUCUACUUUUGCUAUAAAAUAUUUCUGGCAGAUUGUUUACGUGUUAUUCAAUUUUGCCAAGCCUGUUGUAGUUGAUCCAUGCAUGCUAUGAACUUGCUCUUGCCAUGGAUAGAUUUACAAACAUGCCAUCUUGCUGGAGGUAUGCUUGUUUUGUCAUGCAUUGCUUUGUGGUGAGUUCAUCAAGCUCACAAAGAUGCCUUCAUAUUACUGUUUCUGUCAUAUUACUGUCAUCAAGCUCAGUCUGUAACCUGUUAACGAAACUUUCUAUGUUUACAUGGUUGCCAUCAUAUCUUCUGGUCCUUUUUGGCUUAUGGUCACUAAGGGACUUUUGUUAUAUGCAUUUAGUAGAAUACUGACAUGCCUUGUUUUGCCAUGUUAAGUUCCUGUAGCAUGUUGAUUGCUUGCUCUGAACAUCGCUACCUGAUGCUGUUUAUGCCAUGUCCAGUAAUUUCACCAAGUCUGUGAACAUGAUAUCUUUUGCACUAUUGCCAUGCCUGUUUGAACAUGCUGUGGUGUGAUCUAGCCGUAGCUCAUUGUUCAUCUUUUGUCAAGCACCUCCUGUAGAUUACAGCCAUAUGCUUUGCUGCUAUGUUGGGGUGCUGUAGCAUUAUUACUUGUUGCAUUCUAAGUGCUAUCAUGCUGUUAAUCGCAGAUUCGUGUCAUUCUUGUUUUGCUUGCCAUUUGCAAACCGUGCAUCCGUUUCCGGUGAUCUUUAUAUCGAUUUCAACCGAAAUCAUCUCAUCUUUCCAGUGGCAUGCUUGGUUUGUCAAUUUACUGCCUUGUUCAUCAUUUUUCUUCCGGAGCACGCAUAUCAUAUCUUGCAUAUCAUUCAUGUAUUGCAUCAUGUUGCUUGUGCAUUUCCCGUGAUUGAUUGUGGUUCCGUUGCUUGUGUUCUUGUUUUGGGUAGAGCCGGGAGACGAGUUCGUGAACGAGGAACCUGUUGAGUACGCUUACGAGGAUCAAGCUUUCGACAACUCUGAGAACCUUGCAGGCAAGAUGACCAUACCCUCGAAAUCACUUCUAUCUUUGCUUUGCUAGUUGUUCGUUCUUUGCCAUGCUACGCUACCUAUCACUUGCUAUAUCAUGCCUCCCAUAUUGCCAUGUCAAGCCUCUAACCAUCCUUUCCUAGCAAACCGUUGUUUGGUUAAGUUACCGCUUUUGCUCAGCCCUUCUUAUAGCGUUGCUAGUUGCAGGUGAAGUUGAAGGUGGUUCCAUGUUGGAACAUGGAUAUGUUGGGAUAUCACAAUAUCUCUUAUUUAAAUUAAUGCAUCUAUAUAUUUGGUAAAGGGUGGAAGGCUCGGCCUUAUGCCUGGUGUUUUGUUCCACUCUUGCCGCCCUAGUUUCUGUCAUACCGGUAUUAUGUUCCUUGAGUUUGCGUUCCUUACGCGGUUGGGUGAUUUAUGGGACCCCCUUGACAGUUCGCCUUGAAUAAAACUCCUCCAGCAAGGCCCAACCUUGGUUUUACCAUUUGCCACCUAAGCCUUUUUCCCCCGGGUUUUCGUGAGCCCGAGGGUCAUCUUUAUUUAAACCCCCGGGCCAGUGUUCCUCUGAAUGCUGGUCCAACCUAGAGCACCAUGCGGGACCGUCCCUUGGCAACCUAGAGCUUAUGAUGGGCUAAGUUGGGACACUCCUGCAGGGUAUUAUCUUUCGAAAGCCGUGCCCGCGGUUAUGAGGCGGAUGGGAAUUUGUUAAUGUCCGGUUGUAGAGAACUUGGCAGUUGACCCAAUUAAAAUACAUCAACCGUGUGCGUAACCGUGAUGGUCUCUUCUCGGCGGAGUCCGGGAAGUGAACACGGUUUGAGUUAUGCAUGAACAUAAGUAGUUUCAGGAUCACUUCUUGAUCAUGUCUAGCUUCGCGACCGUUGCGUUGCUUCUCUUCUCGCUCUCAUUUGCGUAUGUUAGCCACCAUAUAUGCUUAGUGCUUGUUGCAGCUCCACCUCAUUACACCAGCCUUUCCUAUAAGCUUAAAUAGUCUUGAUCUCGCGCGUGUGAGAUUGCUGAGUCCUCGUGACUCAUAGAUUCUACCAAAACAGUCGCAGGUUCCGACGAUGCCAGUGCAGGUGAUGCAACCGAGCUCGAGUGGGAGUUCGAUGAGGGACGUGGCCGUUACUAUGUGUCUUUUCCUGAUGAUCGGUAGUGGAGCCCAGUUGGGACGAUCGGGGAUCUAGCAUUUGGGGUUAUCUUAUUUUCAUUUGGAUUUUGACCGUAGUCGGUCUAUGUGUGGUUUUUGGAUGAUGUAUGAAUUAUAUUUAUGUAUUGUGUGAAGUGGCGAUAUUAAGCCAACUCUCGUUAUCCCAUUUUUGUUCAUUACAUGGGAUUGUGUGAGGAUGACGCUUCUUGCGACAAAACCACUAUGCGGUUUUGCCACUAAGUCGUGCCUCGACACGUGGGAGAUAUAGCCGCAUCGUGUUCGUUAUAAUGGGUACCUAACUUUGGAAAAAUUCCGUGAAUGGCAUUUUUAAGCAUGGAUUGGGUAGCAAAAAGUUAUUUUGGAAGAGCCACGAAAGAGGUAGUUAUCGAGGAGUUUUUGGAUGUCAUUUGUUUUCGAGUCGCGUUUGGUCGGUUUUAGGGCAAAUUCUGUACAAGAUGUCAUAUAUGGGUACCUAACUUGGAAAAAUUCUGUGAAUGACAUUUUUUAAGCAUGGAUUGGGUAGCAAAAAGUUAUGUUGGACGAGCCACUAAAGAGGUAAUUAUCGAGGAGUUUUUGCGUGUCCUUUGUUUUCGAGUCGCGUUUGGUCGGUUUUAGGGCAAAUUAUGUACACCAUGUCAUAUAUGGGUACCUAACUUUGGAAAAAUUCUGUGAAUGGCAUUUUUUGAGCAUGGAUUGGGUAGCAAAAAGUUAUUUUAGAAGAUCCACGAAAGAGGUAGUUAUCGAGUCACGUUUGGUCGGUUUUAGGGCAAAUUCUGUACAAGAUGUCAUAUAUGGGUACCUAACUUGGAAAAAUUCUAUGACCGGCUUUUUAAACAUGGAUUGUGUCGUGGAAUUGUCACGGCAGAUGUCCUAGUGUAAGGACUUAGUCGCGAGGCCAACGCAUCUAUGUGGGAUCUUGAAGGGGUUGAGCGGAAUCAAGAGACGCAACACGUAAGACGAGGAUUUAGACAGCUUCGGGCCCCGGGAAACAUCAUCCGGUAAUAACCCUACAUGCUGUUUGUAGCUAGGUCUCAUUAUGAUCAUGAAGGAGUCGCCGUAAGCCGGCUCUCCUUUUUCUGUCUAGCCCUAGAUAUUGUUUCUUGUCUCUCGUCCCUCUUGGGGAGCCCUGCCGGCCCCUCCUUAUAUAAGUUGAAGGGGCGGCUUACAUGUAGAGUCCUAGUAGGACUAGGACUAGUCUAUCUUUUCUUACAAGUUGAAUACAAGUCCAGGUCUUGCUUCCUUUGUAGGAAGAAUAUUCCUUAUGCCUUUCCUCUUAAGUCGGCCUACCAUAACGUAAGCCGGCCUUCUGGGCCUUGAGCCUCUUGGGCCCCCGGGUCUUUUCGCUCCUCUGAUCCGCUUGCCACGUCACCCAUAAGUCGCCAGACUCGGGCAGGUCACUUAGUGAGUCGUCCAGUCAGGGCGGGUCAUUAGUACGUCGCGAAGUCCGGCCGGGUUAUACAUCCGGCCGGGUCAUACUGCGGGGUAUAUCCCCGACAGAUUGGGUAGCCAAAAGUUAUUUUGGACAAGCCAUGAAAGAGAUAGUUAUCAAGGAGUUUUUGCGUGUCCUUUGUUUCGAGUCGCGUUUGGUCGGUUUUAGGGCAAAUUUUGUACAACAUGUCAUAUAUGGGUACCUAACUUGGAAACAUUCGGUGAACGAAAUUUUAUAAGGAUGGAUUGGGUAGCAAAAAUUAUGUUGGACGAGCCACGAAAGAGGUAGUUACCGAGGAGUUUUUGCAUGUUCUUUGUUUUUGAGUCGCGUUUGGUCGGUUUUAGGGCAAAUUCUGUGCAAGAUGUAAUAUAUGGGUACCUAACUUGGAAAAAUUAUGUGAACGGCAUUUUUAAGCAUGGAUUGGGUUAUAAAAAGUUAUGUUGGACGAGCCACGAAAGAGUUAGUUAUUGAGGAGUUUUUGCGUGUCCUUUGUUUUUUAGUCGCGUUUGGUAGGUUUAAGGGCAAAUUAUGCACAAGUUUUCAUAUAUGGGUACCUAACUUGGAAAAAUUAUGUAAACAUCAUUUUUUAAGCAUGGAUUGGGUAGCAAAAAGUUAUUUUGGACAAGCCAUGAAAUAGGUAUUUAUCAAGGAGUUUUUACGUGUCCUUUGUUUUCGAGUUGCGUUUGGUCGGUUUUAGGACAAAUUCUGGACAAGCUAUCAUAUAUGGGUACCUAACUUGGAAAAAUUAUGUGAGCAGCAUUUUUUAAGCAUGCAUUGGGUAGCAAUAAGUUAUUUUGGAUGAGCCAAGAAAGAGGUAGUUAUCGAGUAGUUUUUACAUGUCAUUUGUUUUCGAGUCGCGUUUGGUCGAAUAUAGCUCAACCCCUUUGUUAUUCGACGUGGAUUGUAUUCGAAUCAGCGUCGCUAAACAACUCUUAAGGUCAUUUGGGGGCUUCCUGUUCAAACAUAGGUCGUAUUCGAACCAAAGAGAACAUAGCUGUCGAUACCCUUUUGAUUAGCAAACUGCUGAACCUACUUGGGUUCUUCUUGAUCGUAUCCGAAUCAUAGCUCAACCCCUUUGGGAUUCGACGUGGAUCGUAUUCGAAUCAGCGUUGCUAAACAACUCUUAAGGUCAUUUGGGGGCUUCUUGUUCAAACAUAGGUCGUAUUCGAACCAAAGAGAACAUAGCUGUCGAUACCCACUUUGAUCGGCAAUGCCAACGCCACUGGGGGCUAUAUGAUCGUAUUCGAAUCUUAGCUUAACCCCUUUGGAACGGUUUACUGAUCGUAUUCGAAUCAGAAGGCUCAAAUUUUUUUAUCUGUUUUUAUACAAUCACAAGUAUUUGAGUCGUCACAAAUAUCAUAUGUGCCGGCUUUUACCGGGUUACGUUAUCAACUUCACCCUCCGGGUCACGUAAACCGGUGGUAUCAUCCAAAGGAUCAUAAGUAUGAUAACAUCAAUUGUGUCUUAACAUCAUGAUUGAUAACCGGCUUGUCUAUUUAUGAUUCUUUUUGGGUUUUUUAUAUGACCCGCCCUGCGGCAAACCGCCAAGGGUUCUUGUGAUCUACUUGUGUGCAGGGUAAGACUACAUUUGGGUGGUUACCCGCCCUGGUUUUUGACGUUAAGUCGCCAGGGCAUAUGUUGUUUAAACUCUGUGCAGGAUUUGCAGAACUAUGACUUAUAUAAAUGCUUCAGUCCAAGCUCAUCACUGAAAUUGGUGUCUCAAAAGGGUUAUCAAUUAUUGGUUUUCUCAAGGGCUAUAGGCCACCGGGUUACAAAAAUUCCGGCUUACAAUGAAGGCGCAUUAAGUCGUCAUUGGCCAAGAGCCGCCAGGUAUUUAAACUCCGGGUUUACUUGUCAACCGAUGAGGUAUUCAAAUCUUUAAUAGCCAAAACUGGCUGAAUUUUCAUGAUGAUAUUGAAUGAUUGAGGUUUUCAUACCGGAUUAUAUUAUUCAAAUCUUGAAUAGCCAACAUGGCUGGAUUUCUAUUGUGAUUAUCAAUAACCAGUGUUAUGAUUGAGGUUUUCAAAGUCGCUUUAGCGCAACGGCUAUUAUUUUUAUCAAUGGGCAUGAUUUAUUUUACAAUGGAGGAAAUAGUCCCGAGUCGCUGCAGGCUUACGACCCGGCACUUGGGGGCUACAUUGUUCAAAUCGAGAUUACAUCGAAUAUACAAGUCCCAUGUCACUGCCAGCAUGCACCAUGGCACUUGGGGGCUAAUGCAAAGUCAUAUUUUGCUCAACUUAUUGAAGACCCGACUCAUCACAUUUUAAAUGAGCCGGCCCUUGGGGGCUACCAAUUGCUCCUGUCGGAAAUUCAAGGUACACAAGCCUUAAUCCAUUAUAUUGAAAGAUCCAUUAUUCAGUUGGUAGAGUACAAAGCUCUUAACCUUGUGGACGUGGGUUCAAGCCCCAUGGUGGAGAUUACAUCAUUUGAUGGUAUUAUCAACGAAUCAUAUACAAAGUCCCAGCUCAGUAAUAUCUUAUUGAGCCGGCCCUUGGGGGCUACACGUUGCUGUUAAAGUCUACAUGAUCAUAUUUUCAAAAGUCCCUGUUCAUUAUUGCAUAAUGACCCGGCCCUUGGGGGCUACACUGGUUGAAGUUUUCAUAAGCAUAAAGCAAUUACAACUCCCUGGUUGCUGCAAGCAUGACAACCCGGCACUUGGGGGCUACAUGUGUGGAAUAUUCAGUUUAUAUGAUUGAGAUGAAUAAACCGGAUUUCUUCAAGGUUGCAACAUUUAUUGGAGCAAGUCUUAAACCAUCACUUUGUUCUGCUCAAGACUUGGGGGCUACAUGUAAUAUGGAUAUAAGGGAGAAAAAUCUUCAAAUUAUCAGUUUUGAGCAAGUCAGGAGGAUCAAAUUGACCCGGUGUUUGCAACAAUCAUGAUCCGGCGUCACCAAUAAUUAUGACCCGACGUCGGCAACAGUUAUGACCCGGUGCUAUCAAUAUUUAUAAGUCGGCAAUUUUGAUAAACCGGCAAGUCUUACUUCUUCAACCCGGCUGAAAGUCAGAUGAGUAUUUCAAGACCAAUAUGUUUUAAGCCAGCGCUUUGGAAGCCGAUUCAAGUGGAUUAUUUCUUACAAUAUUUCUCUACAAGAGACCAAUGCCAGCAAAUUGACUCGGAAGCUGGCCUAUUGACCCGGAUUUCUCAAAAGAAGUAUCCGGAAUUUUUGCAUUCACAAAAGUUGGAACAUAUCUACUAAAGGAGAUUUGCUAUAAGUUCAUGGGCAUGUAUCAAAGAGGAGAUGACCAGGACUUAAGGAUGAUCAAGUGCCGGCUUACAAGAAUAUUUAACCCGGAGUACAACCUGUCAAUUUGUUCUUGUGUUUAUGUUGCAGAUCAGUUUAACAUGGAUAAAUCCAAAUUAAACUUGGGGGCUAAUGUCGGGGAUAUACCCCGCGGUAUGACCCGGCCGGAUGUAUAACCCGGCCGGACAUGGCGACGUACUAAUGACCCGCCCUGACUGGACUACUCACUAAGUGACCCGCCCGAGUCUGGCGACUUAUGGGUGACCUGGCAAGCGGAUCAGAGGAGCGACAAGAACCGGGGGCCCAAGAGGCUCAAGGCCCAGAAAGCCGGCUUACGUUAUGGUAGGUCGGCUUAAGAGGAAAGGCAUAAGGAAUAUUCUCCUACAAAGGAAGCAAGACCUGGACUUGUAUUCAACUUGUAAGAAAAGAUAGACUAGUCCUAGUCCUACUAGGACUCUACAUGUAAGCCGCCCCUUCAACUUAUAUAAGGAGGGGCAGGGCUCCUCAAGAGGGACGAGAGACAAGAAACAAUAUCUAGGGCUAGACAGAAAGAGGACAGCCGGCUUAUGGCGACUCCUUCAUGAUCAUAAUGAGACCUAGCCACAAACAGCAUGUAGGGUUAUUACCGGAUGAUGUUUCCCAGGGCUCGAAGCUGUCUAAAUCCUCGUCUUAUGUGUUGCGUAUCUUGAUUCUGCUCAACCCCUUCAAUCUACCACAUAGAUGCGUUGGCCUCGCGUCUAAGUCCUUACACUAGGACAUCUGCCGUGACAAUUCCACGACAGUCGGUUUUAGGGCAAAUUCUAUACAAGACGUCAUAUAUGGGUACCUAACGUGGAAAAAUUAUGUAAAUGACAUUUUUUAAGCAUGGAUUGAGUAGCAAAAAGAUUUUUUGGACGAGCCAUGAAAGAGGUAUUUAUUGAGGAAUUUUUGCGUGUCCUUUGUUUUCGAGUCGUGUUUGGUCGGUUUUAGGGCAAAUUCUAGACAAGCUGUCAUAUAUGGGUACCUAACUUGGAAAAAUUCUGUGAGUAGCAUUUUUAAGCAUGGAUUGGGUAGCCAUAAGUUAUUUUGGACGAGCCAAGAAAGAGGUAGUUAUCAAGGAGUUUUUGCGUGUCCUUUGUUUUCGAGUCGCAUUUGGUCGGUUUUAGGGCAAAUUCUGGACAAGAUGUAAUAUAUGGGUCCUAACUUGGAAAAAUUAUGUGAAUGGCAUUUCUUAAGCAUGGAUUGGGUAGUAAAAAGUUAUUUUGGAGGAGCCAUGAAAGAGGUAUUUAGCGAGGAGGUUUUGUGUGUCCUUUGUUUUCGAGUCGCAUUUGGUCGGUUUUAGGGCAAAUUCUGGACAAGCUGUCAUAUAUGGGUACCUGAGUUGGAAAAAUUCUGUGAGCAGCAUUUUUUAAGCAUGCAUUAGGUAGCCAUAAGUUAUUUUGGAUGGGCCAAUAAAGAGGUAGUUAUCGAGUNNNNNNNNNNNNNNNNNNNNNNNNNNNNNNNNNNNNNNNNNNNNNNNNNNNNNNNNNNNNNNNNNNNNNNNNNNNNNNNNNNNNNNNNNNNNNNNNNNNNNNNNNNNNNNNNNNNNNNNNNNNNNNNNNNNNNNNNNNNNNNNNNNNNNNNNNNNNNNNNNNNNNNNNNNNNNNNNNNNNNNNNNNNNNNNNNNNNNNNNNNNNNNNNNNNNNNNNNNNNNNNNNNNNNNNNNNNNNNNNNNNNNNNNNNNNNNNNNNNNNNNNNNNNNNNNNNNNNNNNNNNNNNNNNNNNNNNNNNNNNNNNNNNNNNNNNNNNNNNNNNNNNNNNNNNNNNNNNNNNNNNNNNNNNNNNNNNNNNNNNNNNNNNNNNNNNNNNNNNNCUGCACAAGCUGUCAUAUAUGGGUACCUAACUUGGAAAAAUUCUGUGAGCAGCAUUUUUAAGCAUGGAUUGGGUAGCAAUAAGUUAUUUUGGAUGAGCCAAGAAAGAGGUAGUUAUCAAGGAGUUUUUGCGUGUCCUUUGUUUUUGAGUCGCGUUUGGUCGGUUUUAGGGCAAAUUAUGUACAAGACAUCAAAUAUGGGUACCUAACUUGGAAAAAUUCUGUGAGAAGCAUUUUUUAAGCAUGGAUUGUGUAGCAAUAAGUUAUUUUGGAUGAGCCAAGAAAGAGGUAGUUAUCAGGUAGUUUUUGCAUGUCCUUUGUUUUUGAGUCGCGUUUGAUCGGUUUUAGGGCAAAUUAUGUACAAGACGUCAUAUAUGGGUACCUAACGUGGAAAAAUUCUAUGAACGACAUUUUUAAGCAUGGAUUGGGUAGUAAAAAGUUAUUUUUGGCAAGCCACGAAAGAGGUAGUUAUCGAGGAGUUUCUGCGUGUCCUUUGUUUCCGAGUCGCGUUUGGUAGGUUUUAGGGCAAAUUCUGUAACAGAUGCCAUAUAUGGGUACCUAACUUGGAAAAUUUCUAUGAACGACAUUUUUUAAGCAUGGAUUGGGCAGCAAAAAGCUAUUUUGGACGAGACACAAAAGAGGUAUUUAUCGAGCAGUUUUUCCGUGUCCUUUGUUUUCGAGUCGGGUUUGGUCGCUUUUAGGGCAAAUUCUGGACAAGCUGUCAUAUAUGGGUACCUGACUUGGAAAAAUUCUAUGAGCAGCAUUUUUUAAGCAUGGGGUAGCAAUAAGUUAUUUUGGACGAGGCAAGAAAGAGGUAGUUAUGGAGUAGUUUUUGCAUGUCCUUUGUUUUCGAGUCGCGUUUGGUCGGUUUUAGGGCAAAUUUUGUACAAGACGUCAUAUAUGGGUACCUAACGUGGAAAAAUUAGGUAAACGACAUUUUCUAAGCAUGGAUUAGGUAGCAAAAAGUUAUUUUGGAUGAGCCUUGAAAGAGGUGUUUAUCGAGGAUUUUUUGCGUGUCCUUUGUUUUUGAGUCGCGUUUGGUCGUUUUAGGGCAAAUUAUGCACAAGUUUUCAUAUAUGGGUACCUAACUUCGAAAAAUUCUGUGAGUAGCAUUUUUUAAGCAUGGAUUGGGUAGCAAUAAGUUAUUUUGGACGAGCCUAGAAAGAGGUAGUUAUCGUGGAGUUUUUGCGUGUCCUUUGUUUUUGAGUCGCGUUUUGUCGGUUUUAGGGUAAUUUCUGUACAAGACGUCAUAUAUGGGUACCUAACUUGGAAAAUUAUGUGAAUGGAAUUUUUUAAGCAUGGAUUGGGUUAUAAAAAGUUAUGUUGGACGAGCCACGAAAGUGUUAGUUAUCGAGGAGUUUUUGCGUGUCCUUUGGUUCCGAGUCGCGUUUGGUAGGUUUUAGGGCAAAUUCUGUAAUAGAUGCCAUAUAUGGGUACCUAACUUGGAAAAUUUCUGUGAACGACAUUUUUUAAGCAUGGAUUGGGCAGCAAAAAGUUAUUUUGGACGAGACACAAAAGAGGUAUUUAUCGAGCAGUUUUUCCGUGUCCUUUGUUUUCGAGUCGGGUUUGGUCGAUUUUAGGGCAAAUUUUGGACAAGCUGUCAUAUAUGGGUACCUCACUUGGAAAACUUCCGUGACCAGCAUUUUUUGAGCAUGGAUUAGGUAGCAAUAAGUUAUUUUGGAUGAGCCAGGAAAGAGGUAGUUAUCGAGUAGUUUUUCCGUGUCCUUUCUUUUUGAGACGCGUUUGGUCGGUUUUUGGGCAAAUUUUGUACAAGACGUCAUAUAUGGCUACCUAACAUGGAAAAAUUAUGUGAACAAAAUUUUUUAAGCAUGGAUUGGGUAGCAAAAAGUUAUUUUGGACGAGCCACGAAAGAGGUAGUUAUCGAGGAA